rnacentral:lncRNA from 1 species
AUUAUCAGGAAACCUUCCGUCAUGGAUAGGAGAGAUGCAAUCGUUGUUGAUUCUACGCCUGCGAUCAAACUUGUUUGAUGGAAACAUUCCCUCCCAAAUGUGCAUUCUUUCCCAUCUUCAUAUAUUGGACCUCGCACAUAAUAAUCUGUCAGAAUCCGUUCCUUUUUGUUUGGGAAAUUUGAGUGGCAUGGCUACUGAAAUCAGCAAUGAGCGAUACGAGGGGCAAUUGUCAGUUGUGAUGAAAGGAAGAGAACUCAUAUAUCAGAAUACUCUGUAUCUCGUGAAUAGCAUUGAUCUUUCAGACAAUAAUAUAUCAGGGAAGUUGUCUGAAAUAAGAAAUCUUUCAAGACUUGGCACCUUGAACUUGUCCAGAAACCAUUUGACAGGAAAUAUACCAGAGGACGUUGGGAGCUUAAGUCAAUUAGAAACUCUGGACCUCUCAAGAAACCAGCUCUCUGGCUUGAUUCCACCAAACAUGGUUUCUAUGACUUCCUUGAAUCACUUGAACUUGUCUUACAACAGACUAUCUGGUAAAAUUCCAACAAGCAACCAGUUCCAAACCUUCAAUGACCCGUCCAUAUACAGGAAUAACCUUGCACUCUGUGGGGAGCCUCUGGCAAUGAAGUGCCCAGGCGAUGAUGGGGCUACUACUGAUUCUUCAGGUGUGGAUAAUGAAGAUCAUGACGAUGAACAUGAAGAUGCGUUUGAAAUGAAGUGGUUCUACAUGAGCAUGAUGUCACGGACUUAGUCGUUUCCUAAGCUCGUGCGGCACUUAGGCAAAUCAAGACGCUUGAUCUUGCUAAGUCAGCCUUACCUCCGACACUUAGCUUGCUAGACUAAGAUGCUCACGACUCGGAAGCUUGAGAAGUUGUAGUAGGUAACUUUUAAAGAAUGGAAGCUCUUAUUACUCAAGGAAGCCUUUACAAGUGCUUGGAAGCUUACUUGCUUGGUGCCUUGGCCAAAUGAGGCCCUCACCUAUUUAUAGGCACCAAUGAAACUCUCUAGAACCUUGGAGGGUUCCUUACAAUUCAUGAAUAUUCUAGAAUGUCCUACACUAUUCUAUGUACAAGCCUAUAUACAGGAGACUUCUAGAUUUCUCUAGAAAGCUUUGGACCUUUCUCAUGCCUUCUACCAUAGUGUAGAGUUGUGUGGACUUCUCUAGGCAUUUCUAGAACCUUCCACACUCUUCCCACUAGUGGCUAAGUGUGGAUGUCUCCAAGGGUCUCUAGAAGCUUCUCACCUCCUAUAUAAGCCAUGGGGAGGGUCAUUUGAAGCAUCUUGUGACACUCUCCCCCACCUAAGCCGCAGACGUCCUCGUCACGUCUUCUGCCCGAAACCGCUCAAUCUGCUCCUGGAACUGCCAUAGUGCAUUUCCUGGCUCCCAGCUAGCCUCGCUUUCUAGUAGUCUCUUCCAUUUCACUAAGUACUCCGUAGUAGGAGGCACACCACGCCUUCUGAUGAUUCGGUCUGCAAUGAUGUGUUCCACCUCCUUGUCAUAGGAGGUCAUGACCGCUGUAGGUGCCCUCUUAGAAAGCCCUCGGCUUGGAUCAUCCUUGUCUUCGUGAUAUGGUUUCAAGUAACUCACGUGGAAGACAGGGUGAAUCUUUAACCUUGGCGAUAACUCCACUUUGUAGGAUACCUUGCCGACCUUUCCAAGUAUAGGGAAGGGUCCUUCAUACCUCCUCACAAGGCCCUUAUGCACUGGCCUUAGGGAUUUGAAUUGUUGAGGAAGGAGCUUGACAAGCACCAUGUCUCCGACCUUGUACUCCGUGUGACGUCGCUUCUUGUCAGCCCACUUCUUCAUUUUCUUAGCGGCCUUGUCCAAGUACGAGCGUGCUAUGUCAGCUUGCUCAUGCCACCCCUUCACGAACUUGAAAGUCGCUGGACUUCUCCCCAUGUAGCCUAUCGUUAGCGUGUGAGGAGUUAAGGGUUGCUGCCUUGUGGCUAGCUCGAACGGGCUCUUGUUGGUCGCCUCACUCCUUUGCAAGUUGUAUGAGAACUGGGCUAUAUCUAGCAACUUAGCCCAAUCUCUCUGGUUGGCACUCACAAAGUGCCUCAAGUACAGCUCCAGCAAGGCGUUCACCCUCUCAGUCUGCCCAUCUGUCUGUGGGUGAAAGCUGGUGGAGAAGUGAAGCUCCGAACCCAUAAGCUUGAAGAGCUCCGUCCAAAAUUUCCCAGUGAAACGCGGAUCGCGAUCACUGAUAAUAUACUUAGGCAAUCCCCAAUACUUGACUACGUGUUUUAAGAAUAGUCUUGUCGUCUCCUCCGCAGUGCAGUCAGUAGGGGCUGCUAUGAAGGUCGCAUAUUUAGAGAACCUGUCCACUACCACUAUGAUAGAGCCGUUGUCCUCUGACUUGGGCAGCCCGAUGAUGAAGUCCAUGGUGAUGCUGUCCCAUGGGCGCUCCGCUAUUGGUAAUGGUUCCAACAGGCCUCUAGGCUGUCGUUGCUCCACCUUGUCUUGUUGACACACAAGACAAGUUCUCACGUAGGCCUCAACCUCAUCCCGUAUUUGAGGCCAACAGUAAGCCGACUCGAGUAAUGCCCUCGUGCGUCGUUGCCCUGGGUGCCCUGCCCACUUGGUGUCGUGGCACUCCUUAAUUAGAUUCCGUCUUAUGUUUCCCCACUUAGGCACGUAGAGUCGUCUCCCCUUAGUGUAGAGUAGGCUGUCCUCCACCCAAAACCGCUUAGUCUUCCCUUCAUGAGCCAGGGCGAUGACGCUCUUAGCCACUGGAUCAUGUUGCAGUCCUUCCCUUAGAAGAUCUAUUAUGUCUCCUUGGGGCUGACUCGUCAUAGACGCUAGCUUGGCUUUGCGGCUUAGGGCGUCGGCCACAUGAUUAGCACUUCCCGGCUUAUACUCCAGCGUAUAGUCAAACUCGGCCAGGAAGUCUUGCCACCUAGCUUGUUUAGGACUCAGCUUCUUCUGUGUCUGGAAGUAGCUAGUGGCCACAUUGUCGGUCUUCACUAUGAAGUGAGACCCUAGCAAAUAGUGCCUCCAAGUGCGCAAGCAGUGGACAAUAGCGGUCAUCUCCUUUUCUUGUACCGUGUAACGCCUCUCCGCAUCGUUUAGCUUGCGACUCUCAAAUGCGAUUGGGUACCUUUCUUUCAUAAGGACUCCCCCAAUAGCGAAGUCUGAGGCAUCUGUGUGUACCUCAAAGACCUUGGUGUGGUCGGGUAGUGCCAACACUGGCUCCUCAGUCACAGCCUUCUUCAGGUCCUCAAAGGCUUGUUGGCACCUUUCAUCCCAUUCCCAUGCCUUAUUCUUCUUAAGAAGAUCAGUGAGUGGAGCAGCCCUUCCCGAAUAACCCUUUAUGAACCACUGGUAAUAAUUAACUAAACCAAGGAAAGAUCUGAGUUGAGGUACCUUGGUUGGUGGAUCCCACUCCUGGAUGGCUUUCACCUUGCUAUCAUCCAUCAUUAGCUUGCCAUCUCUGAUGCGAUGCCCUAGGAAGCUCACUUUCUCCUUAGCAAACGAGCACUUCUCCUUCUUCACGUAUAGCUUGUUCUGCCUCAAGAUCUUAAAGACCUUCCUCAAGUGCUCUUCGUGCUCCUUUAGAGUGUUACUAUAGAUGACUAUGUCAUCCAAGUACACCACCACGAACUUGUCCAAGUAUGGGUGGAAGAUCUUGUUCAUGAGGGUGCAAAACGUUGUUGGGGCAUUGGUGAGUCCGAAAGGCAUCACUAAGAACUCAUAUGAGCCAUACCUGGUCACACAUGUAGUCUUCGGCUCAUCUCCCUCCGCAAUCCUGACUUGGUAGUAGCCUGACCUUAAGUCCAGCUUUGUGAAGUACCUUGCCCUUCCAAGUUGAUCGAACAAGUCAGCAAUGAGCAGGAUGGGAUACUUGUUUUUCACCGUCACCUUGUUGAGUGCCCGGUAGUCGAUACACAUCCGUAGGGAUCCAUCGUGUUUCUUUUGAAACAAGACCGGCGCGCCAUAAGGAGCCUUGGAUGGUUGGAUGAACCUCGCAUCUAGCAACUCCUUGAGUUGUCUUCUUAGUUCCUCCAACUCGGGUGGUGCCAUCCUAUAUGGCCCCAUAGCAGGGGGCUUGGCUCCCGGCUCCAGCUCAAUCUUGUGAUCUUCCUCUCUCCUAGGAGGAAGUCUCUUGGGCAACUCGGGUUGCAUAACGUCCUUGAACUCAUCAAGGACCCCCUCGAUUUCCUUAGGCAUGGGUCCUCCCGACCCAUCAUCCCUUUCUUCCUUAAGGGUGGCGAGGUAGGUCACCUCUUCCCUUUUUAACCCCUUUUUUACUUGCAUAGCGGAUAGCAUAGAGGUCUUGAGCGUACCUUCAAUGACCGUAGGGACCAUGCAUGGCUUCUCCUCCUCUAGGAUAGCCAUUGAGCGUAAGAAAGGUAGUGGCACGGCCUUGACCUUCUGUAGGAAGUCCAUUCCUAGCACCAUCUUGAAGUCGUCCAUGGGUGCCACUGUGAAGUCGACCCUUCCUUCCCACGAGCCAAUGUGCAUAGUCACCCCGCGAGCUACUCCAUGUGAUGGCUUAGCGGUUGAAUUAACUGCCUUGAGCCAUCCUCCUUCCUUGGAUGCUUGGAGCUCCAGCCUUCUUGCCUCAUCUUCCGAGACAAAGUUGUGAGUGGCACCUGUGUCCACCAGGGCCUUGGUGGCCUUCCCAUUCACAAGGGCCUCCACAUACAUCAGCCCCUUGCAUUGAGGCAUCCUAGGCAUCGGCUUGGCCUUAAGGGCAUUCAGGAGCUGCAAUGAUCCCAUCUUAGCAUUGCCUUCCUGCUCCUUCUCCUCGAUCAUAGCAUUUAAAGCCUUCCUCUUAGGGCAGUCCCGUGCCCAUUGCGGACCAUCGCACAAGAAGCAAUUGGUCCUGGGCGUGAACUCCUUUCGCUUGUCCUUGCCUUUGCUAUCCUUGCCACUAGGGCCUUUGCUUGAUCUUUCCUUAGGAGUGUGGCCCUGCGACCUCUUAUCUCCCCCACCUUUAGCCUGGUUACCCUUGGAUGGUGGCUUGGGCUUGGAAGAGUCUCCCCUUCUAUAAUCCACCAAGGACUCGGCUACUGCCAUGGCCGUGGCUAGGUCUUGGACACCACGUCUCCUCAACUCUUGCUCGGCCCAACUUUGCAGGUUGUCCAUGAAGUUAAAUAGUAGCUCCUCCUUAGCCAUGUUAGGUAUCUCAAGCAUAAGAGUAGAGACUUCUUUGACAUACUCACGGAUCGAGCCCGUGUGCUUGAGACGCUUUAAACUCUUCCUUGCUAGGUAAGCCACGUCUUCGGGAUAGAAUUGCCUCUUGAUUUCUCUCUUGAAGGCAUCCCAUGUGUCUAUGGUGCACGUCCCUCUCUCUAUGUCGGCAAACCGUCGACGCCACCAUAGAGUAGCAUUAUCAGUGAGGUAAAGGGUCGCGGUGCGUACCUUAGUGGCUUCAUCCAUUAAUGCAAUGGCCUCAAAGUAACGCUCCAUGUGCCACAAGAAGUUAUCCAGCUCCUUGGCAUCCCUUUUGCCACUGAACGUGUGUGGCUUGGGCACCUCUACCCUUGGUGCCUCAAGAGUGGCCAUGACUCGUGCUGAUACAGCGGUCUUAUAGAUGGCCAACUCUUGUCGAAUCUCUUGGUCUCAGGCCUCCACUCGUGCAGUCAAGGCCUCCAUCCUUGACUCCACACUAGCGAACAUGCUCAUGACCUUGUCUUGGAAGGACAUGAACUCCUCGUGUGACACCGGCUGAACUUGCGAGACCAGCACCCCCUCGCGAAGGUCUUGGACCUGCUCCCUUAGAUCCUUUAAGCCCUUCUUCAUGCCUUGCUCGAUCAAGUCCACCCCUUCCCGGGUGUCUGCCAUGGCUAGCUCCACUUUGGCUAACCUUGCCUCCAUGUUGGCAACAACAUCACGAGAUGUAUCCUUCUUACCUCUGCCCCUGCCCCGUGCAGUAGGCUCGGCCUCCCUCCCACGGGUUUGUUCGCUAGUCUCCUCCACGUUAGAGCCCGACAUGCUUCCCUUAUGCCCGCUUCGUAGCCGCGCUCUGAUACCACUUGUCACGGACUUAGUCGUUUCCUAAGCUCGUGCGGCACUUAGGCAAAUCAAGACGCUUGAUCUUGCUAAGUCAGCCUUACCCCCGACACUUAGCUUGCUAGAUUAAGAUGCUCACGACUCGGAAGCUUGAGAAGUUGUAGUAGGCAACUUUUAAAGAAUGGAAGCUCUUAUUACUCAAGGAAGCCUUUACAAGUGCUUGGAAGCUCACUUGCUUGGUGACUUGGCCAAAUGAGGCCCUCACCUAUUUAUAGGCACCAAUGGAACUCUCUAGAACCUUGGAGGGUUCCUUACAAUUCAUGAAUAUUCUAGAAUGUCCUACACUAUUCUAUGUACAAGCCUAUAUACAGGAGACUUCUAGAUUUCUCUAGAAAGCUUUGGACCCUUCUCAUGCCUUCUACCAUAGUGUAGAGUUGUGUGGACUUCUCUAGGCAUUUCUAGAACCUUCCACACUCUUCCCACUAGUGGCUAAGUGUGGAUGUCUCCAAAGGUCUCUAGAAGCUUCUCACCUCCUAUAUAAGCCAUGGGGAGGGUCAUUUGAAGCAUCUUGUGACAAUGAGGCCUGGAUUUGUAGUGGGAUUUUGGGGAGUUUUUGGCCAUUUGAUAAUAAAUAGGUCUUGGAGGCGAGCCUACUUCCGGUUCCUGGAUGAGAUGAAAGAUAGAGUUAUGGUGGUUAUCACAGAGAAUGUAGCAUGUCUGCAAAAGAAAUGCAAAUAGGAAAGAAAACAUCAUCAAACUUGAACAGAUAUCCAUCAACAAGCUUUCUAGCUAAAAUAACAGUCUCUAUGUGUCAGUGGUUUGCUUCAUGUACUUCCUCCUAACACAAUAAAACAUUGGUUAAUUAAGAGCUUUUCUUCCAACCUUGAUAGACUGGUAUAUCUGCUUGCAUCUGUGGUAUUCUUCUUCUUCUACAGGUUUUUCUUCCUUUUGAUUUAGUGAAGUAGUAGAACCUUAGCCCCCUGCUAGGCAAUCUGAUAACUUUGCUGAACAGUGGGAGAAGUGGAUUACUACCUCGCAUCGAUAUACGAUCUCAACCCCAGAUGAAAGAUGAAAUGUAAGGUGUCAACCUCCAGUUGCAUUUUGGGAUACAAACACCUUACAUGCUUCGUAAUUUUAUGGCUAAAUUGUAAUAUAUGCUAUCAACUAUGUGUGAUACCCAGAGAGCUAAUAACUAUUACUGCUAAAUCAUAAUAUUACUGCUAAAUCAUACUUAACCCCAUGAGGAAAGCUCGGACUCCACUCAUUUUUCAACAAAAAGGCAACGCGAUAGAAAAUCCCAGUUGUCAAAUUCAAUGCGCGUAAGACUAGGCCCAUAAGAGCCUGGGAGACCAAGGCCACCAGCAGCCACAACCUGGGCAGCACGCCCUGACCCUAUGGUCACCCCCAUGGUGCAGAACGUGCUCCCGCACCGUGACCCUAUGGUCACCCCCAUGGUGCGGAACGUUCACUCGCACCUAGUGACGCGACAAGAUGGGAGAAACCUCCCAAACGAGCCACCCAUUGGCUCCAUUAGCAAAAUGCUGGACGACAUGCUCUCCACGCCUUUCUGCUCUCAUAUCAUUCAUUACGAGCCCCCAAGGGGAUUCUUCGUACCAAAAUUUUCCACAUACGAUGGGUCCAACGACCCCUUCGAGCAUAUCAUGCAUUAUCGACAGCUCAUGACGCUCGAUAUUGGCAACGACGCAUUGCUGUGCAAAAUAUUACCCACCAGCCUACAAGGGCAAGCCCUCUCAUGGUUUCAUCGCCUACCUCCCAACUCUGUUGACAAUUUCAGAGAUCUAUCCGAAGCUUUCGUAGGACAAUACUUAUGCUCUGCUCGACAUAAGCAGAACAUCAACACUCUGCAAAACAUAAAAAUGCAAGAUAACGAAUCCUUAAGGGAGUUCGUAAAGCGGUUUGGUCAAGCUGUACUUCAGCUAGAGGCUUAUAGCAUGGAUGCUGUCCUGCAGAUCUUCAAACAAAGCAUCUUUCCAGGCACCCCAUUUUUCGAAUCGCUAGCUAAAAAGCCUCCUACAACGAUGAACGACUUGUUCAGAUGUGCAAGCAAAUACUCAAUGCUCGAAGAUGACGUACGAGCAGCCACCCAGUAAGUCCUGGUUGUUGGACAGGCAACUAGAAGUGGCACAGAAAGAAGUGCCAAACUUCCGGACCGGCCAAGGCCGUCCGAUCGAAGGUAGGAAGGGCCAAGUCGCCCGAAAAGGCCGCCCCUCACAUCUCUCUCCAUAUCAUAUGAGAAACUUCUCCCUAUGAUCCAAGGCUUGUCCGACUUCAGAUGGCCUAGACCCCUCGGAACGGACCCAUCCAAAAGAGAUCAUAACAAGAAAUGUGCCUUCCACAAGGAGUAUGGUCACACAACGGAAGAAUGCAGGUGCCUCCAUUAUUUGGUCGAAAGGCUCAUAAGGGCGGGGCAUUUAAAGCAAUACCUCCGCUCAGAUGCCGGAGGUAGAGACGCUUCCCAAAAUCACAACUCUGGAGCCCCCAAGGCCCCAGCCGCCUCUAAGGCCAUUAUAAACUACAUUAACGAAGGCCCAUCUGAAGAGGAGUAUGACUCCAAACGAAAGAGACAAAAGUUGUUGCGGGCUGCAUCGGUGCGUGAGCGUAUCAACUCCAUCUGACCUGGGUUAACUGGGGGGAGCCCUCGCCCCAUAGAUGGAACAAUCAUUUUCCCACCAGUAGACCCCACCCGAACACUGUAGCCACAUCGCGACGCCCUCAUCCUAUCCCUAGAGAUAGGAGACUUCGACGUGAGACGCAUUCUGGUUGACCCGGGCAGCUUGGCCGAUCUUGUGCAAGCAUCGGUCGUUAGCCACAUGGGACACAGUCUCACGGGCCUUGAAAACCCUGGGCGAAUCCUGUCUGGAUUCAACGAAUCGUCAACUACUUCCUUGGGAGACAUUGUACUGCCGGUCCAAGCUGGCCCAAUCACUCUCAAUGUACAAUUUUCGGUGGUACAAGAUUUAUCGCCUUUCAAUAUCAUCUUGGGGCGCACAUGGCUACACUACAUGAAAGCCAUCCCCUUUACAUAUCAUCAAUUGGUGAGUUUCCUUACCAACGAUGGGCAAAUUGACCUCUAUGGCGGCCAGUUAGCCGCUCGCCAAUGCUACCAGAUAGCACGAGAAACAGGGACCAGCCAGGAGGAUGCAUCCCUCCCUGAGUCCAACCAUGCGCGUGACCAAUAGCAAUUAUUGGGUCCGAUGGACAAGGAUCCCCCAACAGCAGAUCCCUUGCAAACAAUCCAAAUUUCGGAAGAAGGUACUCACCUUACAAAGAUCAGUUCCCUUCUGACACCAGAAGAGACCCGAAACAGGCAGAAUGCCCUCAGAAAAAACCAUGACAUCUUCGCAUGAGCACAUUCUGAUAUGAAAGGAAUUCAUCCCUCCAUCACCUUUCAUAGGCUUAACGUCUUACAAACAGCCAGACCCAUCCGGCAAAAGGUGAGACGUUUCCACCCGAACAUACAAGAAAUUAUCCGGAAUGAGGUUGACAAAUUGCUAGAAGCCGGAUUCAUCAGAGAAGUGGAUUACCCGGACUGGUUGGCAAAUGUAGUGGUGGUACCCAAAAAAGAAGGCAAAUGGCAAGUGUGCGUCGAUUACACCAACCUCAAUAAUGCAUGCCCCAAAGACAGUUUUUCUUUGCCAUGAAUAGACCAAAUCGUAGACUCCACUGCUGGGCAAGGGAUGCUCUCAUUUUUGGACGCCUUCUCCGGCUACCACCAAAUUCCCAUGUCCCCGGCUGACGUAGAAAAAACAGCCUUCAUAACUCCACAUGGUCUCUAUUGCUACAGAGUCAUGCCAUUUGGACUCAAAAACGCUGGCGCCACCUAUCAAAGACUGAUGACAAAGAUCUUCAAACCUCUGGUCGGCCGCAUAGUAGAGGUAUAUAUUGACGACAUUGUGGUUAAAAGCAAAACCCAGGAGGAGCAUUUCCUCCAUUUACAAGAAGUCUUCCAACUCUUAAAGAAGUAUGACAUGAAGCUAAAUCAUUUCAAAUGUGCUUUUAGCGUAAGUGUUGGCAAAUUCCUGGGAUUUAUGGUCAGCCAAAGAGGAAUAGAGGUUAGCCUGGAUCAAGUCAAGGCAGUCAUGGAAACACCUCCUCCCAGGAGCAAGAAGGAGUUACAACGCCUUACAGGCAAGCUCGUCGCGCUAGGACGUUUUAUAGCCCGUUUCACUGAUGAACUUCGACCUUUUUUCUUGGCAAUACGAAAGGCUGGAGCAAAUGGAUGGACGGAUAACUGUCAAAACGCUUUUGAAAAAAUUAAACACUGCCUUAUGCAGUCGCCCAUCCUAAGCAGCCCCAUUCCUAAAGAAAAAUUGUACAUAUAUCUGGCUGUAUCAGAGUGGGCAAUCAGCGCUGUCCUAUUCCGCUGCCCUUCACCCAAGGAGCAGAAACCUAUCUACUAUGUCAGCAGAGUGUUGGCGGACGUAGAAACUAGGUAUUCAAAAAUGGAACUAACGGCCUUAGCCCUUCGGAGUGCCGCCUAGAAGCUUCGCCCCUAUUUCCAAGCCCACCCGGUGGUCGUGCUAACUGACCAACCCCUUCGUAACAUUCUGCACAAGCUAGACUUAACCGGAAGAAUGCUUCAGUGGGCCAUAGAAUUGAGCGAAUUUGGAAUUGAGUUCCAACCUAGAUUGUCCAUGAAAGACCAAGUAAUGGCUGACUUCGUACUAGAAUGCUCUCAAAGGCCCAACCAAUGCCAGGAACCAAAUGAAGAAGAAUGGUGGACUUUGCGGGUCGAUGGAGCCUCACGAUCAUCGGGGUCCGGAGUCGGGCUUCUGCUACAAUCCCCAAUAGGGGAACAUCUGGAGCAAGCCAUCCUGCUGGGAUUCCCCGUUUCUAACAAUGAAGCAGAAUAUGAAGCCAUCCUAUCCGGAUUGGACCUCGCCCUGGCUCUAUCCGUCUCCAAGCUCCGUGUCUAUUGCGAUUCUCAACUUGUGGUCAGACACGUCCAGAAGGAAUACAAAGCUAAAGAUGAGCGCAUGGCGCAAUACCUAGCUAAGGUGAGAGAUACCUUACAACGAUUCACUGAGUGGACGAUCGAAAAAAUCAGACGAAUUGAAAAUGGGCGCGUCGAUGCCUUGGCAGGCAUAGCUGCCUCCCUUCCCAUCAAAGAAGCCAUAUUUUUGCCUAUACAUGUGCAAACCAACUCUUCCAUUGCAGAAACCUCCACUUGCAAUACCAUUGAGGCACGCCAACCAGACAGCCAAGAAUGGACGAACGACAUUAUAAAAUACCUCCGGAUAGGCACUCUGCCCGAGGAUGCCAAACAGGCACACAAGAUUCGAGUGCAAGCCGCCCGCUUUACCCUGAUUGGGGGGCACCUGUACAAACGAUCUUUUACAGGUCCCUACCUUCGAUGCUUAAGUCAUUCAGAGGCCCUGUAUGUAUUAGCAGAAUUGCACGACGGAGUAUGUGGAAAUCAUUCUGGAGGACGAUCUCUAGCGCACAGGGCCCAUUCUCAAGGAUAUUAUUGGCCCACGAUGAAGAAGGAUACAGCAGCCUACGUCAAAAAAUGCAACAAAUGUCAACGACAUGCCCCCAUACCACAUAUGCCGUCGGAGACGCUGAAACCAAUUUCAGGUCCCUGACCCUUCGCGUAGUGGGGUAUGGACAUAGUAGGCCCCUUACCAACCGCACCCGCUCAAAAGAAAUUCAUGCUCGUCGCCACGGAUUACUUCAGUAAAUGGGUGGAAGCCGAAGCAUACGCUAGCAUCAAAGACAAGGAUGUCACCAAGUUCGUGUGGAAAAAUAUCAUCUGUCGCUUCGGAAUCCCCCAAACCAUUAUAGCCAACAAUGGACCACAGUUUGAUAGCAUAGCCUUCUGAAAUUUCUGUUCGGAACUGAACAUCCGGAAUUUAUACUCCACACCGCGUUAUCCUCAAAGUAAUGGGCAAGCAGAAGCCACAAACAAGACUCUAAUCACUGCCUUAAAGAAAAGGCUCGAGCAAGCUAAAGGAAAAUGGGUGGAGGAGCUACCCGGUGUCCUAUGGGCUUAUUGAACCACACCCGGACGUCCGACAGGAAACACUCCCUUCGCCCUCACAUACGGUAUGGAUGCAAUCAUUCCUAUCGAAAUAGGGUUACCCACUAUCCGGACUAAGGCAGGAAAGUAGGAUGAUGCAAACGCGGAGUUAGGAAGAAACUUGGACUGGGCAGAUGAAGUAAGGGAAAACGCAUCCAUCCGGAUGACAGACUAUCAACAAAGGGCAUCCGCUCAUUAUAAUCACAAAGUAAGACCCAGAAGCUUCAAAAAUGGUACACUGGUACUUAGAAAAUUUUUUGAAAAUACUGCUGAAACAGAAGCAGAAAAAUUUCAAGCCAACUGGGAAGGACCCUAUAUAGUAUCUAAGUCAAGUGAAAGUGGAGCUUAUCAUCUACAAAAGCUAGACGAAACUCCAUUACUCAGACCGUGGAAUGUGUCCAAUUUAAAGCAAUAUUACCAGUGAAAAAAAGAGACAAGUACAGAUAUGAAAAAGUAUGUUUUAUUGAUAUUUGUAAAAGUUAUAUACAAAGAGUUCUCCGGACUACAAGAUAUAGAGAGAAGAUAGCAGUAAAAAUUACAAAAAGAAAAGCUCUCAUUGAGCAGGCUUGCUGCGCAGCUUUUCCUUCUCGCCUGGAGGUAUUGAAGGGACGUCCCGCUUGAUUCCAUGUUUCUUCAUACAGUAGCGAUAGUCGAAGAAGUACAUUUCAUCUACUUGCUUCUGGUAGUCCACUUCAAGUUCCUCCCUUUCUGCAGCAAACUCACCAUCCAGCUCCUCUUUUUGCGUUGUUAAGCGCAGCUGCAAAUCUUCUUUCUGCUUUUUCUCAAUGGACAUUUCUGUCCGGAAUUGCCUCACUUCCCCCCUCAGCUGGGCCAUCUCGUCCUCCGCCUCAAGCAGGCGGGCAUCCAUAGAUUCCUCUCGGCUUUUUGCCUUAGCUAGCUCUGCCCAGAGAGCCUCGUUGUCUCCUCGAGCGGCGAAUAAACUGGCUUCGGCCUCCUCCAGUCUCAAGCGCACCUUAUCUUCACUAUUUCUGCACUGAGAGGCGAAGACCUUUAUGUAAUCAACGGUCCGUAGCAAGUCAGUAAACAGAUUAUGUUGUUGGACCAUGCCGCGAAGACCACUCACCAGCUGCAAAAAAACACGCAAAAAGAAGAACAAAGUUACAAACCAUGCCACAAACAUAUCAGUAUGGCAAGAAAAAUUAAGAAGGAAAACUAUACCGUUUCCACCACUUUGAACAUUUUUGCUGAAGGCAUGACAACGUCUGAGUCGGGUGGAAUCUGUUUCAACUUCUCUUCCAACUCCGCAUAGCUGAAAGCAUUAGCAGAGAUGCAAGUUGCAUCAUCAACUGGAUUCCCCCCCUGAUGAAGCAUUGAAGAGUGACUCCUCCUCCGGGUCUGGGGCCCCAUCAGUCUCGGCCGGCUAGGUCGCUCCGGGCGAACCCCCAUCCGGGACCACCACCGGGGCAGGUGGGUUCUCUACUACCAUCUCCGCCUCGCUCUCCUCCGGAUGAUCAUCCUAGACGGACGAGUAACUGACUUCGAUGGUUUCUAAGAACCGAUCCUGAAGCUGCCCGAUGAGGCCAGACUUUAGGUCUCGCGUCGGAUGCGACCUCCUUCUAGCCGACCCUUUCACUGGUACAAGGGCAAGGGGGCUUGGCCCGCAAGAAGGCAAACUCUAGCUCUCUAUCCCCAUUUCCUCCAUUGGGGAUGCCGUAGGAGGCAAUGCUGCAGCGCAAGAAGCCUCGGCUGCGUCCCCAUCCGGAUGGGGAGAGCCGGGUUGAUUUAUUGAAGUAGCUUCUUCAGCUAGAAGAGCCAGACGACCAACCACUGACAUUGAAGGGCCUGAGUGGUUUAGACCCGCGAGAUGUCCGGACCGCUUGAAAUAGAGGGCGGGACCGGGUGUUCCGGCUCUCUUAUUGUCACUUCCUUCACAUAAGUUGAAGGAGGAAUUACAAACUCCUUCGGAGGAGUUGGGGGUUUUAAUUCUUUCCCCUUAUUUGAAACUUUCUUCUCCUUCUUUGCUGGAGCGCCAGCAGGUGGAGACGAUGCGGGCCGCUUGCCACCCGAAGCCUUCCGCAAAAGCCCUUAUUUCCUUUUUACCUCCCGGUUAUUGAGACGGGCUUUGCGGGUCCGGGCGGACGCCUUCUGCACUGCCGCGUAGAGUGGCAGGUCUUGAAGAACGAAGUGCUCCCCAACCACCACCUCUUUAGGCAGCUGCCUUGGGAGUAUGUUCAACAUGUACGGCUGGGGCUCCUGCAUAACCGAACGGAGGUUUUGCGCAGAGAGCAGUGUGUCACAACUCCGUUCGACCGCCGCAAUUUCGAAAAGCCUGUUCAAACGAUCGAACGAGGCCUUCUUCACCCACUCCACCAGUUUUCCCCUUUUAUCCAGGCCUACACUCAAGAAAGUAAAAUAUGUUAGCAACCCAACAAUGCUGACCUAAACUCACAAAUCAUGGUAAAAACAGGAAGUCAUUUAGUCAUACCUGGGACCUUCAACGACUGGUUGGGGGCGAACGGCCUGUCCGGAUGCAUUGCCAAACCCGCCCAUACGCCUUUGACCAACACAUGUCCCUUGGCGGCCCCCUUGGUCGAGUCCGGAAGGCUGGUCACCAAUUGCAGGGACGGAAGGCAAGCGACAAAGCUGAAGAUGUCACUCUUCACCUUCUUGAUUGAAUAGAUGAAGAGAACCUCCAGCAUAACAGGUCCAAAUUGAACAACAUGCUUAGGAUGCUGCACCCCAUCAGCACCCGGACCAUAUUAGGAUGAAUAUACGCCGGAGGAAUUUGGGUGAAGUGCAGAAACUCCUUGAACAAAGACGGUAGGGGAAACCGGAGCCCAGCGUUGAACUGCUCCUUGCUAAAGCAAAUAGCGUGGUCUUCACCCUUCUCAGUCGACACAACCUCCCCAUUAGUCAAUUCAACAGAUACACCGUUGGGGAUACAAAACCGUUCGCGGAAUUCCUUCACACUCUAUUUAUCCACAGACUUCUCGGCAUAAGCAUCGCCAGACAGGCCAGAUGAGGUCGCUUCCUGGUUCCCAGACAUUUUUUAGCCUUGUACUAAAAUGAAAUCUGCAUAGAAGAGGUACCAACAGUCAAAACACAGUAAAAAACCCCCCGAAAAAACCCUCGAAACUACUGACAACACCUAGUGGCAAAACACCUUGCCCAAGCAAACCAGAAACAACCAACAGGACAAAACGCAACAAGGAAAAGACAAGAACAAAUGUACGUACCGAGCGUAAAGAUGGAAGAAUAGGGUUGAAAACUGCAAAUGCAGUCACCGUCAAAACGCAAAAAUCACCAGCAGAAAACCCUAGGGCUUCACUCGGAAACGAAGGAACGCCGAAGGUAGAAGAAGAAACACUAACAAAAAAAUGCAGUAGGAAAAAUGCAAACAGAAGGCACAGUAUGCUAUUUAUACAGUGACAACCCCUCGGUAUACCAAAUGCUCAGCUACGCCAUCAUUGAAACGACACGCUACCUGGGAAUACACAGAGACGACGGCUCAUCAUAAAUGCUCUUCUCUCUCUUUGCCCCCGCUCGCCACGUGGCCCAAUGAGCGCAAAAAGUAACCUCAGUUUCAAAAAACCAAUUAUUUUUAACCCGCCCAUUCUGCUCAGGCAGAUUAGGUAAGUUAAAAAGGGGGGCAUUGUAGGGACCCCUCCUCACACGUGGCACACAUCUCCUGAUGACACGUGACACACAUUCUCAUCCGGAUUAAUCUCAUCCGGAUUUCCCCAAGAGUACACGUGACGCGCUUCUCUUAUCCGGACUCCCUCAAGGAGAGGCACACGACACUCACAAACAUAACAUUCAGAUGACUGCCACAACGCACCCGGAUGACCGACAUAUACUAUCCGGAUAUGUUUGUCCGGAUCAUUGACUGAAGUAAGCAAGUCUUACACGUUAUCACAACAGCCUGCCAUGGCCCACGUUCCGCCACCUGCAGAGUGAAAGGACAGGAAUGAAGUGACGACAAGUCACUUCCCACGAUCUCUGAUAGCCGCGACGCCUCCCACUAUCUCUGUCAGCCACCCGUAGGGUGAUGAUGGCCCUGCCACCACCUAGUGGCAUCAUGAUAAUCCAAAAUAUCUCUUUACCAUUAAAGAGGGAAACAAAGCUUCUGGUACUAUAUAUAUGAACCUUCACACAAAGAAGAAGGUAAGCCUGCUAUACCUAGUAAAAGGCCAACUGAUUUAUCUCUCUUGCCAUGGCUGACAAAACCAUCGGAGGGUCGUCCGGACACCCUGUCCGGACGCCUUUUGCAGGUGCGACUGAAUCAAGAAUCUAUAUGGGUUGAGAUCGUAUGUCCAUCCAUUUGGCAACUACGUGGAUCAUUAGGGACGUGAGGCCUCAACAAUUAUCUCCUCAGGGUUUCUUUUCCAUGAAAUCCUUAAACCAGGCUGCUGCCGUGGUGAUCACCAUAGGGCAGCCUCCUUUGAAACUGAGAGGGUAGUUCUUCUCAAGUUCAAACAAGGCCUUACAGAUUCUUCUCAUCGACUCUCAUCUUGGGUAGGGGAAGACUGCUGCAAAUGGAGAGGCGUCAUCUGCAACCACAAGAGUUUACAUGUCAUCAAACUCAAUCUGCGUAGUCUUAAUGAUGAUGGAACACAUGGCAAGUUGGGCGAUGAGAUCAGUCAUUCUUUGAAAUAUUUGAAUCAGUUAGACCUGAGCCUGAAUAAUUUUGAAGGGACUCGAAUCCCCAAGCUCAUUGGUUCAUUGGAAAAGUUGAGAUAUCUCAAUCUCUCCGGUGCCUCCUUCAGUGGACCGAUUCCUCCACAACUUGGAAAUCUUUCCAGGUUGAUCUACCUUGACAUCAAGGAAUACUUUGAUUUCAAUACAUACCCUGAUGAGUCAAGCCAGAAUGAUCUUCAGUGGAUAUUGAGUCUUUCUUCUUUAAGACACCUUAAUUUAGGAGAAGUCAAUCUAAGUAGAGCUUUUGCUUAUUGGCUUCAUGUUGUUAGCAAGCUUCCUCUUUCCGAGUUGCAUCUACCUAGUUGUGGACUUUCUGUCCUCCCUCGUUCUCUCCCAUCUUCCAAUCUUACAUCCCUUUCAAUGCUUGUUCUCUCCAACAAUGGUUUCAACUCCACAAUACCCCACUGGCUAUUCCAGCUGGGGAAUCUUGUGUACCUUGAUCUCAACUUUAACAAUCUUCGAGGCUCAAUUUUAGAUGCAUUUGCAAACAGGACUUGUCUUGAAAGUUUAAGAAAGAUGGGUAGCCUAUGCAAUUUAAAAACAUUGAUCCUUUCUGAGAAUGAUUUGAAUAGGGAAAUAACUGAAAUGAUUCAUGUUUUAUCUGGGUGCAACAAGUGUAGUUUAGAGAACCUGAAUCUGGGAUUGAAUGAACUGGGUGGUCUUCUUCCUAAUUCACUAGGAAACCUGUGCAACUUGCAGUCUCUUCUGCUUUGGGAGAACUCCUUUGUAGGCUCGAUUCCGAAUUCAAUAGGAAACUUGUCGCAUAUGAAAGAGCUAUACCUAUCUAAUAAUCAAAUGAAUGGGACCAUUCCAGAAACACUUGGACAACUUCAUGAGUUGGCUGCCUUAGAUGUCUCUGAGAAUUCAUGGCGGGAAGGUGUUCUAAUGGAAGCCCAUUUGUCAAAUCUCACAAACCUAAAGGAGUUGUCCAUCGCUAAAUUUGCAUCUCGGUCCAGACCUCAAAUUGGUCAUCCAUAUCAGUACUGAGUGGAUUCCUUCUUUCAAGCUCCAAUACCUGAAGCUGAGAUUGUCAAGUAGGUCCUAAAUUUCCAGUUUGGCUUAGAAACCAAAAUGAGCUUAACACUAUAAUACUUAGGAAUGCUCGAAUAUCAGACACCAUACCAGACUAGUUUUGGAAGUUAGACUUGGAGUUGGAUCAACUGGACCUGGGCUAUAAUCAAUUAAGUGGCACAAUUCCAAACUCAUUAAAGUUUGGUCCUCAAUCCUCAGUUUAUUUGAAUGUGAACCAUUUCAAUGGUUCUUUGCCACUUUGGUCAUCAAAUGUGACUAGCCUAUUUUUGAGAAAUAAUUCCUUUUCUGGGCCAAUUCCUCAGGAUAUCGGGGAAAGUAUGCCCAUGCUGACAGAGUUAGAUCUCUCUCAUAACUCUCUAACUGGAACCCUUCCCGUGUCCAUUGGUAAACUACAUGGUUUAAUGAUUCUGUAUAUCAUUUGUCUGGAGAAAUUCCUGCAUUGUGGAAUGGUGUUCCUAAUCUGGUGGUGCAUGUUGACCUGUCGAACAACUGAUCUGGUGAGCAUCCAACUUCAGUGGGUUCUCUGACCUACCUCAUAUUUUUAACGCUGAGCAACAAUCAUCUUUCUGGGGAACUUCCUUCUGCCUUGCAGAAUUACACAAACAUCCGUACUCUUGAUCUUGGAGGCAACAGAUUUUCAGGAAAUAUUCCGACAUGGAUUGGACAAACAAUGCCAAGUCUUUGGAUUCUAGGACUAGGAUCAAAUUUGUUUAAUGGGAGCAUUCCAUUACAACUAUGCACUCUUUCCUCUCUUCACAUAUUGGAUCUUGCCCAAAACAAUCUGUCAGGAUCUAUUCCCUCUUGCGUGGGGAAUUUAAGUGCUAUGGCAUCCGAAAUUGGAUCAUAUAGAUAUGAGGCUGAUUUGAUGGUGAAAGGAAGGGAAGAUUCAUAUAGAAACAUUCUCUAUCUUGUGAAUAGCAUAGACUUGUCCAACAAGCCUAUCUGGAGAUGUGCUUGGAGGGCUAACAAAUCUUUCAAGAUUAGGCACCUUGAACUUGUCUAUGAACCAUAUAACAGGAAAAAUACCAGACAACAUUGGGAGCUUACAAUGGUUGGAAAAUCUAGACCUCUCAAGAAACUAGCUUUCUGGUCUAAUUCCAGCAGGUAUGGCUUCUUUGACUCUCUUUAAUCACUUGAACCUGUCCUAUAACAACCUGUCAGGUAGAAUUUCAACAGGCAACCAGCUGCAAACCCUGGAUGAUCCAUCAAUAUACAGGCACAACCUUGCACUAUGUGGGCGUCCGAUAACAGCUAAGUGUCCUGGUGAUGAUGGAACCCCCAAUCCUCCCGGUGGAGAUGAUGAAGAAGACGAUGAAGAUGGAGCUGAGGUUGAAAUCAAGUGGUUCUACAUGAGCAUGGGAACAGGAUUUGUGGUGGGGUUUUGGGGAGUUUGUGGCACCUUAGUAGUUAAGGAGUCAUGGAGCCUAUUUUAGGCUUGUCUGUGACAUCAAAGAGUGGCUGCUUCUAGUUAUUCAGUUGAAUGUUACCCAUCUGCAAAGAAAACUGAAUUUGGGAAGAAGCCAGUAUCAUACUUGAACAACCUUCUGGAAUUAAGUUCCCGAAAUAAAUGAAUGCUUCUAUGUAGUUCAGCACUUCAGCUUCAUGUACAACCUUCUGAAAUAUGAAGUUUUGAUUCCAAGUUUUUUCAAACGCUUGGUCUUUUAUUUUUCUAUCUUUUGGUCACAAGUAUAUUUACUCACAUAUCGGAGACUUGCCCAAAAUAAAUAAAUGAGCUAAUAAACAACGAAGGCGAUGUCGGAUUCCCAGCAUUGCUUUGUUUCCUAUCAUCUUUUCAACACAACUCUUGACAGGGAAGCAGAUUAUGAUGAAAAAUUUAAUUAGAAGAAAAAAAAAAGGGUGCAAAUAUAGAAUCAUGGGCACAAUUGUUCAAGCUGAUCACCCACACUCCUGAGCCAUGAUUUAGUCUUUUUUUUUUUUUUUGGUGGCUGAAUCAUCGUACUACUCCAGUGUGCAUCCCUUAAAAUUUUCAAACAAUUUGCACAGGUCAAACAAAAGGAAUCAUUUCGUCCAACACUGAAUGGGUGGCAGCUUGCUUCAUAAUGAGAAAUAGAAAUCCACGAGGUUUCCAAGCUCAUUAUGACACAUUCUAUACUCCAACUACUAUGCAAAAUAAUGAAGUUUUGCACAAGUAUCCCAAGACUAGACCUUUGUAGAGCUCCUUGGAAAAUGACUUUGAAACAUGUUAAAAGCACCUCUUAACACAACCUUUUUUUUUUCCACACGCUUUUUCUCCUCUUGUCCUCUAAGAUAGCUAAAUGGAAGAGGGUCAAUGUCCACUACUGACUUGGGGUCAAUGCUAAGGACAACAACUUAAGAUAAUUAAUCUUGAAUUGUUCAAACUUGCAGUCAACUUUUACCUAACAUACCAACUGGUUUUAGGGUCUAAAAUUCCAAUAUGAACAAGGGUACCACAAAGGUUUCUUUUCAUUGUAGGAGGAGAAAACAUCGUCUAAUAAUUUAUGAUGACAUUCCAUUUCUAAUAAGUACCCUUGUGGACUAAAUUAGAGGAUAUGGUAAAAACUAGGUCUUGCUGCAAUUUAGGUCUUCACUUAAAAGGCUUAAAAGUAAGUCCUAUUGUACUCAAGUUAAAAUAAGCACUUAGAUAUUGGACCCAUUUUAAGGGUAUUGUGGAACUUUGCUCUUCUAAAGUGAGUACCCUAUAUUUGACUAAUUCCUCGCAUGGAGGCAAAGAAUGCUCAUCCUAGCUAGCAGACUUAAAUCUCUCUUAUAAAACUCUCAAAAUGACACUAUUCCCUUGUCCAUGAGUAAAUUAAAUGCUCCAAUAACUAUCUCAAACAAUUAUUUAUAAGAAGGAGAUCUUUACUAAAGAGUGCCUUAAAUUUUUAAUUGGUAUAUAAUCCAUGCUGUAAAGAACAUUAUGUAUAAACUAUAUCAUUAUAAUAAUAGAUUUCUUUAUAAAGUAAGAAAAAUCAUUAUAAUUAUCUCUAUAAAUAUUUUAAGUCACGAGGGAAAAAAUUAUCAUGAGAUGGAGAUGAGUUUGUAAUAACUAUACAUUGUAGAUGGAGAUAAGGGAAAAAGUUGGAGACACUCAGUGAAUCAAGGACUUGCAGUUCAAGGUAUACAUAUAAGGAACGGGAAAACAUGGGAAGUUUCAAGGUUCAAUAAUAUCUGUUUGUUUGUUUUUUUUUCUAUUCUCUAAAAUAUUUUUUGUGAUAUACUGUAAUGAUUUUCUUUCAUCCAUUGAUGUAAGAAUGAUUGAUUGUACUACUGAAAAAUAUGACAUACCUUUAUGUAUUGAUUAUUUUAUCCUUUUGUCACUAAUAUAUAUUAGUAUUAAAGUAUAAUCAUGAACGUUAAAAGCUCAUGUACUUUUAUAUGUAAAUUGUUUUAUUUUUGUGUUAUUAUACUAAUGUGUUGGGAUCAUGGAUGGAAAUAUUGUUUUUCACGAAUAUAUCAAUAAUUUUAUUUUACAUAUAAUAGAUAUAUUGGAAAUAUUAGUGGAUUUAUUAAUACAAAAUAUUGAUGAGAAAAAUUUAAUAAAAACUAAAAAAAAGAAGAAGAAAAGUUUCAAAAAAAAUUGUAGAAAAAGAAAUAAUACAUAUGUUUAAGUUAUUUUAUUGAACAAUAUGAUUGCUAUAUGUACAUCAAUAUUUAAAAAUUAAAAUACAUUAUAUUUAUAUUUUUGAAAUAAUUUUGUUGGAAGAUAUUGAUAAUAUUUUUCUAAAAUAAGAAUUUAUUACAAUCUAAUUUUUUCAAAGUAAGAAAAAAUCUAUAUUUGUAAUGAAUUAAUCAUUGCAUUGAAUUCUAUUUCAUAAUUAGAUUAAAAGUCAAUUUCUAAUAGUGAUCAAAAUUUUUAAAAUUCUUCUUAUUUGACUUUAAGUCCAUUACUACUUGCAAAAAAUUUAAAUUUUUAUUCAAAAAAAAUCUAUAUUUAAAAUUCUAAUAAUAUUUAUAAAAAUUUUUAGAAAAAUUUAUCUUAAAUUCUUUUAAUAUAUUUAGAUUCAUUCAUUUUAAAAAUUAAAAAUUAUGAGAAAUUUAUGAGAUAAUACUGCAGCUCAAAGGACUGCCUUUCUUGGAUGCGAAUCCUGAGCCAUGGAUGAGAAAUUUAACCCUUGUGAAUGAAAUGAUCUUAUCCGGAUUGUUAAUAAUGAGAUUAUUGGAAUGAAAAUGCUUUAUAUAAUUUGAUUAUAUAGGACUGGAACAUGAUUAAUUAUGAAUCUCUGAUAAAUUCCGUUAUAAUAUAGAGCAUUCAAUAUUAAUCAAUGAUGGUCAUAUAUGCAUUGAUCUUAAUUCUGAGUGAUUAAUAGACUCAUAUUUAUUCUAUUGUAUUUUUUGACAUACCGGGUAAUGACACAAAUACAUAGUGUCAAAUUCUUGGUGUAUUGGAAGUAUAAUAAAAUAAAUAGCCGAGAAUAUUAAUAUACAAGAUGAAAUCCAUUCAUUCGUUAAGAAGUCAGAUGGACGGUUGCCAUAAGUAUUGGUUCGGGCCUUGAAUGAUAAGAGCGCUCAAUUUAUGAUUAGACCAUAAAUAUAUUAUUCAUUAGAGAACCAAUGGCACUUAAGGAGAAAGAUAUAAUUAAAGAGGUUAACGGAAAAACCUAGCUUUAAUUAUGAACCGUUUAUGGAGGAUUGACUCAUAUGUAGUGACUAUAUCAAUGGGCAAUUCAAAUCCUUUGAAUAUAUUUAAUUUUAUAAUUUUAAGAGUGCAAUUCCAAAUUUUUAGUGGAGUAAUUUUGGAAUUAAUAAUUUUGAUUUUUUAAUUAAGUUGUUAAUUAAUUGUCAAAAUUAUUGGAGCUUAAAAUUAUAAUGUCCAUAGUUCCUCUCAACGGCUCCAUUAAAAUUAUAUGAACAUUUUUUUUAUGUUGGGUUGAUUUUAUUAGUUUGGAAUUUUGAAUUCUAAAUUAAUUUCACACAAUCUUGAUUUGAUUUAUUUAUUUUAUAAUUUGAUUAUUUAAAAUAUUUUUUGAUACAAUGUGGUGAAGACCAAAUUUACUUGUAUUCCUUAAGAAACACCUUUUAAGUGGGGAUCAUGGGGAGAGAUAUUCUCUCCCAUGUUUUUCAAAAUUCAAAGAAACACUUUUUAAGUGGGGAUCAUGGGGAGAGAUAUUCUCUUCCAUGUUUUUCAAAAUUUAAAAUAUGUCAGUUAUUUUUUUCUUCGUGGUAUUAAAAAGUUUUUUUUUCUCAAUGUUUUUCGGAUGAUGGGAUGAGAAUACAAGUUUUCAAUAUAUUAAGUUGUGUGAUAAAAAAAAAAAAAAACCCAAGAAUGAAAAACGCCCACUCGUUUUGAGUUCAUCAUUUUUUGGAGAACGUUAGAGAAAGAUCCAUGGUGCUUUAGAGGAUUUGGAAUUCUAAGAUCCUUUUGGUGGAGUUCAAAUUUAUCAGCCUAAUCGCAAGGUACAAUUCUAAAUUACCUAUAUUUGUUAUUUCAUUAAAUUAAUACAAGUAUUGAUCAUUGAAAAAAAAAAAAAAAAAUUUUGAGAAAAUUUUUCUGGCUUCCGUUUUUCUUUUAAUUAUCUGGUUUCAAAACCAACACUUUUCAACACAACUCUUGACAGGGAAGCAGAUUAUGAUGAAAAAUUUAAUUAGAAGAAAAAAAAAAGGAUGCAAAUAUAGAAUCAUGGGCACAAUUGUUCAAGCUGAUCACCCACACUCCUGAGCCAUGAUUUAGCCUUUCUCUUUUUUUUUUUUCUUUUUGGUGGCUGAAUCAUUGUACUACUCCAGUCUGCAUCCCUUAAAAUUUUCAAACAAUUUGCACAGGUCAAACAAAAGGAAUCAUUUCGUCCAACACUGAAUGGGUGGAAGCUUGCUUCAUAAUGAGAAAUAGAAAUCCACGAGAUUGCCAAGCACAUUAUGACACAUUCUAUACUCCAACUACUAUGCAAAAUAAUGAAGUUUUGCGCAAGUAUCCCAAGACUAGACCUUUGUAGAGCUCCUUAGAAAAUGAUUUUGAAACAUGUUAAAAGCACCUCUUAACACAACCUUUUAUUCUAGUAUUUUUCCCCUUUUAUUUUCCACAUGCUUUUUUCUCCUCUUGUCCUCUAAGAUAGCUAAAUGGAAGAGGGUCAAUGUCCACUACUGACUUGGGGUCCAUGCUAAGGACAACAGCUUAAGAUAAUUAAUCUUGAAUUGUUCAAACUUGUAGUCAACUUUUACCUAACUUACCAACUGGUUUUAGGGUCUAAAAUUCCAAUAUGAACAAAGGUACCACAAAGGAUUCUUUUCAUUGUAGGAGGAGAAAACAAAGUCUAAUAAUUUAUGAUGACAUUCCAUUUCUAAUAAGUACCCUUGUGGACUAAAUUAGAGGAUAUGGAAAAAACUAGGUCUUGCUGCAAUUUAGGUCUUCACUUAAAAGGCUUAAAAGUAAGUCCUAUUGACUUCCAUUGCCCUUGUACUCAAGUUAAAAUAAGCACUUGGAUACUGGACCCAUUUUAAGGGUAUUGUGGAACUUUGCUCAUCUAAAGUGAGUACCCUAUAUUUGACUAAUUCCUCGCAUGGAGGCAAAGAAUGCUCAUCCUAGCUAGCAGACUUAAAUCUCUCUUAUAAAACUCUCAAAAUGACACUAUUCCCUUGUCCAUGAGUAAAUUAAAUGCUCCAAUAACUAUCUCAAACAAUUAUUUAUAAGAAGGAGAUCUUUACUAAAGAGUGCCUUAAAUUUUUAAUUGGUAUAUAAUCCAUGUUGUAAAGAACAUUAUAUAUAAAAUAUAUCAUUAUAAUAAUAGACUUCUUUAUAAAGUAAGAAAAAUCACUAUAAUUAUCUUUAUAAAUAUUUUAAGUCACGAGGGAAAAGAUUAUCAUGAGAUGGAGAUGAGUUUGUAAUAACUAUACAUGGUAGAUGGAGAUAUGGGAAAAAGUUGGAGACACUCGGUGAAUCAAGGACUUGCAGUUCAAGGUAUACAUAUAAGAAACGGGAAAACAUGGGAAGUUUCAAGGUUCAAUAAUAUCUGUUUGUUUGUUUUUUUUUCUAUUCUCUAAAAUAUUUUUUGUGAUAUACUGUAAUGAUUUUCUUUCAUCCAUUGAUGUAAGAAUGAUUGAUUGUAUUAUGUAAAAAUAUCACAUACCUUUAUGUAUUGAUUAUUUUAUCAUUCUGUCACUAAUAUAUUUUAGUAUUAAAGUAUAAUUACAUUAAAACUUCAUGUACUUUUAUAUGUGAAUUGUUUUAUUUUUGUGUUAUUAUACUAAUGUGUUGGGAUCAUGGAUGGAAAUAUUGGUUUUCACGAAUAUAUCAAUAAUUUCAUUUUACAAAUAUAUUAAGAUAUAUUGGAAAUAUUAGUGGAUUUAUUAAUACAAAAUAUUGAUGAGACAAAUUUAAUAAAAACUAAAAAAAGAAGAAGAAGAAAAGUUUUCAAAAAAAAUUGUAGAAAAAAAAAUAAUACAUAUGUUUAAGUUAUUUUAUUGAACAAUAUAAUUGCUAUAUGUAUAUCAAUAUUUAAAAAUUAAAAUACAUUAUAUUUAUAUUUUUGAAAUAAUUUUGUUGGAAGAUAUUGAUGAUAUUUUUCUAAAAUAAGAAUUUAUUACAAUCUAAUUUUUUCAACGUAAAAAAAAAAAUCUAUAUUUGUAAUAAAUUAAUCAUUGCAUUGAAUUCUAUUUCAUAAUAGAUUAAAAGCCAAUUUCUAAUAGUGAUAAAAAAAUUAAAAUUCUUCUUAUUUGACUUUAAGUCCAUUACUACUUGCAAAAAAUUUAAAUUUUAUCCAAAAAAAUCUAUAUUAAAAAUUCUAAUAAUAUUUAUAAAAAAUUUUAGAAAAAUUUAUCUUAAAUUCUUUUAAUAUAUUUAGAUUCAUUCAUUUUAAAAAUUAAAAAUUAUGAGAAAUUUAUGAGAUAAUACUGCAGCUCAAAGGCCUGCCUUUCUUGGAUGCGAAUCCUGAGCCAUGGAUGAGAAAUUUAACUGUUGGGGAGCAUGCAGAUGCCAAGCCACAAGUUGUUACCCUUGGUGAAGUGGAAAAGGUUGCCCGCCUUGUAGAUGUCCUGAGAAACACCACGCACAAUGGUUUCCCGGUUGUAGAUGAAGGGCUGGAGCCACCGGUUGGUCUGGUCAUAGGAGCAACUGAACUGCAUGGAAUUGUGCUAAGAGCACACCUUGUUAAACUGCUGAAGAAGAAGUGGUUCCUGCCAGAGAGAAGGAGAAGAGAGUGGGAAGUGACAGGGAAAUUUACCCAGCUAAAUCAUUUUUUUAUUCUUUUCUUUUUUUGUGCAUACAAUGAUAACAAUGGCCUUCUUGUGAGAGAAACUACAGUUUUGAGGUAAAUAUGACUAACCUGAUUGUUUCCUUCACUUACAGGUGUCUCCAGUAGUUGGGAUCUUGACCAGGCAGGAUUUGAGAACCUACAACAAGUUGACAGCCUUUCCUCAUCUAGCCAAAUCCAAGGAAAGGGAUAAGGGAAACUGAGCAGCUUUUACGGAGCAUUAUCUUAAUUUAUUUUUCAAUAUUAUUGUAGAAUUUUGUUCAUUCAAAUUAUUGUUGUUUACAAGUCAUUCAGUCAGUAAUAAACAACAAGUUCCUUUUUCACAACACUAGAAAAACAGAAAUUGAUUCUUGGUAUUUCUUCUGUAGUAAAAUAUUGAAAGAAUCCUUCAUUCCUUUUGCUCUGCCACAACCUAACCUCUAGUCCCGUUGAUCGUUUUUCAGCUCCAACGCCACAUCAGUAACUAAAAUAUUCCUCACAAGGGUUUCUUCUUCCUCUUUCCUGACUUCUUUUUCUUGAGACCUACUCCUGGGCCCCUUUUGAACACAGCCAAAACCUCGCUCGAUGCUGCAAUCAUAGCCAAACAUCAUUUAUAAUAGUUAAUAAGCAAACAAAGGAAUGAAUGUAAUGUGCAUAUCAUGGCAUACAUCAGAACUAACAUGUAUUCACUUUAAGUUGCUCAAGUCAAUCAGGUAGUUAUUUUCCAUUAAGAACCAAGUAUGCCAGUACUGGAACAACAAAAAGUUAAGGGAUAAAGUUUAAAUUGCGUAAUGCAAUUUUAUGCACCUGUAUCAUGUAUGGCAUAAAUUCAAAUUUCUAGUACAUAUUCCCCUUUACCCUAAACGCAGUGAAAUAGAUUCUUUCUUCUGGAAAUUGCUAUAUGCCUAUGUUAGGAUGACAAAUCAGUAAAUCAUCAAAUAAUGAAGGCAUUUAGUUAAUCCAAGAAGUUCCCAAGAGAAAAUUUCAUAGACAGUCUACAACUGAAAAUAUGUUCAAAGCCACCUUAGUGUAAGAGACAAGCUUGAUGCCCACUCAUAUNNNNNNNNNNNNNNNNNNNNNNNNNNNNNNNNNNNNNNNNNNNNNNNNNNNNNNNNNNNNNNNNNNNNNNNNNNNNNNNNNNNNNNNNNNNNNNNNNNNNAAUCACAUGACAAAUAUCCAAGAUCUCUUUAGAGAACUUGAUAGAACAACUAUUUCCAAAGUCAGAAUUGGAAAUGGUGAGUAUAUUCCAGUGAAGGGCAAAGGAACGGUUGCUAUCGAAAGCCAAACAGGUUUGAAACUCAUUUAUGAUGUUUUGUUUGUGCCUGACAUUGACCAAAACUUACUCAGUGUUGGACAGCUCGUUGAGAAAGAAUUUAAAGUUUAUUUUGAAGAUAGGAAUUGCAUUAUCAAGGAUGCUGAAGGCAAAGAGGUGUUCAACAUAAAAAUGAAGGGCAAAAGUUUUGCCUUGAAUUUACUGGAAGAUGAGCAUACUGCUAUUUUACAACAAGAUAGCACAACAAUGUUUUGGGACAGAAGGGUCGAGCACUUUCAUCAUGAUGAUGUGCUCUACAUGAAGAAAAAUCAAAUAGUUGAAGGACUUCCUGACUUAGAAAAAGAUCUUCCUAUAUGUGCUACUUGUCAAUAUGGGAAGCAAACUAAACUUCCCUUUCCAAAGAAAAUAUCCUAGAGAGCAACCCAAAAACUGCAACUGGUGCAUACUGAUGUUGGUGGAUCUCAAAAAAUGUCAUCCUUGAAAUGGAAUGCAAACAAUGUUUGGUGGAUCUCAAAAAAUGCCAUCCUUGAAAUGGAAUGCAAACAAUUUUGGGCUAAAACUGCAAGUAGAGCAGUAUAUUUUCUGAACAUAUUGCCAACAAAAAUGUUAAAGAAGCAGACCCCUUUCGAAGUUUGGUUUGAGUGUCUAUGUGCAAGACUUGGAGUUUGCAUCUACGAAGUCAAGGAGGAGUGUUGAAUUUUGACUUAGUAUUUGCUGGAAUUUGAAUUUUGAAUAUUGCAGCUGGAGUCUUGCACAAAAUCUGCAACAUCUAGAUAUUUUCUUAUUUUUAUUUGGUCAAGAUUUGGUUUCUAUUUUAUAGGAAGUAGUUGUUCAUCAUCUAGUAGCUUGAUUUUCUGCUAUUCUAAUGUCAUUUAAGUUACAAGUUCAUGUAUAAAUUCAGCAUUCUUCAAUCAAUAAAAUAAGUUCCAGCAGCCCAAAAUAUAUUUUUUGUAUAAGUAUUUAAUCUUAUACCAACACCAACACCUACACCUUUCUUGUCAGACGGGCUACAUUCAGUGCCACAGCCAGAAGGAGCCUAUCUUUCAUUUUGUUGACAAAGCGAAAAUAAGCAUAUCUCCAUGACUUCUUGAUCACUAAUGUGCCACAAACUCCCCAGAGUCCUAUGAUGAAUCCCAGUCCCAUGCUAACAAAGAACCAUGGCAACUCAGAGUCAUCUCCAUCUUCAUCAUCUUUGUCUUCUCCUUUCCCAGUUGGAAUUGUUCCAUUGUUGUCAUGACACUCGUUUGUUAGAGGAAAUCCACAAAGUGCGAGGUUUCCCUGGUAAAUAGACGGAUCAAUCAAGGUUUGAAACUGGUUGCCUGUUGGGAUUUUCCCUGACAAGUUAUUGUGUGACAGAUUCAGGUGAACCAAAAAGGUUAUGGAAGCCAUGCUCAUUGGAAUUGGACCAGAAAGUUUGUUUCUUGAUAGGUCGAGAGUCUCCAACCACUGCAAGUUUCCAAUCUUUUCACGUAUAGUUCCCCCCAAAUUAUUGCUGGACAAAUUCAAGGUUCCCAGUUUCAGAAGGCUUGUUAGUUCUAUAGGAAUCUCUCCUGAUAAGUUAUUAUAGGACAGGUCUAGACCAGUCACAAGGUAGAGACUGUGAUAGUAUUCAAUUGCUCUUCCUUUUGAAUCAAGGUUCAAGCGUCCCUCAUACCGUGCUAUAUCUCCGAAAGUUCAGAUUUGAAGCCGCUCAAGUUCCUAAAACAGGGAGGAAUAAAUCCUGACACAUUGUCGUGUGAGAGGUCCAGAAUGUGUAGCGCGGAAAGGGCACAGAUUUCUGAAGGAAUAUUACCGCUGAAGAAGUUGGACCGCAAGGCUAAAAUCAACAGGGAUGGCAUGCUUUCUCCUAUCCAGGAUGGAAUGUUUCCAGAAAAUUUGUUAUCACCAAGAUCAAGGCUUUCCAAGGCACUGCAGUUUUGUAGAUGGGAAGGAAGUUCACCAGAGAGAUUGUUGUUGGAUAGCACCAAGAAUCUGAGUGUCGUGAGGGAACCCAGUGAUCUUGGUAUUGUACCCGGAAGGCUGUUGUUGGACAUAUCUACAAUAUACAGGGAAGGCAUCUUGUUCAAGAACUGAGGAAUUUCUCCAGAUAAAUGAUUGUUGGAGAUGACCAAGGUCAUCAAAGCCUGUAGAUUACCCAUGGACAAGGGAAUGCUACCAUUCAGAGAGUUCCAAGAGAUAUCUAAAUCUGUCAGAAUGGGCAUUGCUUCACCAAUGUUCGGAGGAAUAGGUCCAGAAAACAAAUUAUCCCUCAGAUACAGUGUACUUACAUUAGACGACCAGAGUGGGAGAGGACCAUCAAAGAGGUUUGAACUCAAAUCAACAUUGGCUAGGUAGCUGAACACUAAUGAGUUUGGAACUCUGCCACUUAAUUGAUUAUAAGCAAUGUGUAGUUCACUGAGCUGCAAAUCUAAUUGCCAUAACCAAUCUGGUAUAGUACCUGAAAUUCCAGCAUUAUUCAGCACUACGGUGGUCAACUCAUUUUGAGUUCUGAGCCAGGUAGGAAAUUUGGGACCCAAUUGGCAAGAUCUACGGUUGAUGUAUGUGAGUUUAAAAGGAGGAGCCCAGUCAGAGGAGAUGUUGAAAACCAAAGAAACAUUUGGAGAACUUUUAGUAAUAGACAACUGCUUUAAGCUUGAGAGGUUGGCAAAAUGAGCUUCUCUUUAAAAACAUUUAUAAUAAUAAAACUAUUAAUAAAAACAUUACGAGUAAAAUCAGUUUAAUUUUUAUUUUUUUUUCCUACACGCUCUUUCUCCUCUUGUCCACUAAGAUAGCUAAAUGGAAGAGGGUCAAUGUCCACUACUGACUUGGGGUGAAUGCUAAGGACCGCAGCUUAAGAUAAUUAAUCUUUAAUUGUUCAACUUUUACGUAACUUACCAACUGGUUUUUGGGUCUAAAAUUCCAAUAUGAACAAAGGUACCACAAAGGUUUCUUUUCAUUCUUGGAGGAGAAAACAAAGUCUAAUAAUUUAUCAUGACAUUCCAUGUCCUGUCUAGACUAUAAGUACCCUUGUGGACUAAAUCAUAGGAUAUGGAAAAAACUAGGUCUUGCUGCAAUUUAAGUGUUUUACUUUAAAGGCUUAAAAAAUAAUGCUUAUCCCAGCAUACUUAUAUCUCUCUGAUAAAAUUGUCCAUGAGUAAAUUAAAUGGUCCAAUUACUAUCUCAAACAAUUAUUUAUAUGAAGGAACUCUUUUUUGAAGAGUGCCUUAAAUUUUCAAUUGAUAUAUAAUCCAUGUUGUAACCAACAUUAUGGAUAAAAAAUAUCAUUAUAAUAAUAGAGUUCUUUAUAAAGUAAGAAAAAUUAUUGUAAUUAUUUUUAGAAAUAUUUUAGAUCACGAGGAAAAAGAUUGUGAUAAGAUGGAGAUGAUUUUGUAAUAAUUAUACAUGGUAGAUAGAGGUAUGGGAAAGAGUUCGAGACACUUGGUGGAUUGAGGGUUUACAGUUCAAAGUAUAAAUAUAAGGAAUAGGAAAACAUAAGAUGUUUCAAAACUUGUUUUUGGUUUUUUGUUUUUUGUUUUUCUAUUCUCUAAAAUAUUCUUUAUGAUAUACUCCAAUGAUUUUCUAUCAUCCAUUGAUGUAUGAAAGAUUAGUUGAAUUACAUAAAAAUAUGACAUACCUUUGUGUGUAGAUUAUUUUAUCCUUUUGGUUUUACACUAACAAACUAGCAUUAAAGUAGAAUCACGUUAAAACCUCAUGUAUUUUUAUAUGUGAUUUUUUUUUGUGUUAUUAUAUUAAUAUAUUGAGAUCAAUGAUGAAAAUAUCGGUUUUUGCAAAUAUAUCAAUAACUUGAUUUUAUAAAUAUAUUGAGAUAUAUAAAAAAAUAUUGGUCAUAAUAUAUUGAAAUCGGUGGAUAUUUUAAUCCAAAAUAUAGGUGAGAUAAAAUUAACAAAACCUAAAAAAGAAAUGAUUUUUUUGUAUAUAAAAAGACAUAUGCUCUCCAUGUGACCAAACGCAAAAUGGUCAAUUUCAAUCCUUAUAUUAUAAUUUUUUUUAAAUUACUCAUUCACCCCCUUCCGUGUGUUACUCUACUAGACAAUAAUUUUGCACACUUAAUCCAAACUACUCAAAUAUCUCAUUUUCUUAAAAUAAACUUCAAAAUCCGUAUUUACUAUAACAUUACUAUAGUCACUGCUCCUUUUUGUCCUAUUCCUUCACCUUCAUGCUACAUCUUCAUACGAAAGGGUCUUAGCCUCUCACGGUUUUUUAUUCCACUCACAAAUUCCAUAAGAGAAUAGGAAAUCUAUGCAUUAUUGAAAAGAAAAGAGCAAAAAGUUGAUGAUGUAUGCAUGUGUAACAAAGAGUAUCAAUUCGAGAGAAGGCCUCUGAUGGCCAAGAGAAGAUGAUAUCAGGCAGUUGGAGAUUGAAAGUGAUUCAAAGAGUUUCAUACUAGUGAAAAUAAAGGGUCCUAAAUAAAUAAUCCUAGUGGCAUGCAAAAUAUUUAUGAAAUUAAUUAUUCUUUCAACAAGAUGAUACAUAAGCAUUUUGCUAGACAGGCACAUUUCCCACUGACUCAAAAGCACAUUUUGGCUUUAAGUGUAAGAAUUUUGUUAAAUGGGAAUAUGAAGUAAAAUAAGUCAAUCGGUUAGAAUAGCAAAUGAAGAUAUGAAUAGGAUGUUCUAACUCGACGUAUUUAAUUUUAUUUGAAUUAUUAAACUAGUGUCUUUUUUCUAAACCAAAAAAGGGGCAAGACUUUAGCAAAUGUUCUUAAACCAAGUCCGUCAGCUCCUGAUGCCUAAAGUCUAAAAUUUUCUUCCUUUAGAAUUAAUGACAUUUUCACAUGCACAUUCUAGUAAAGUUUUAAUGUCCACAUCUGGACCUAUUAAAGCAAAUGUUCAUACUUUAGCGUGUCAAAGAGGGCACACUACAAAACAAAGAAGACAAGACAUUUUCAUUAAGGAUAGGAAGGCUACUCCAUUCAAUUUUACCAUUGUGGCUGCCAACAACCCCUACCUAGAGUCGGGCUGUCGUAGUUUGUCAUUUAAUUAGAUCAUAAGUCAUAAAGUGUAUAGAGAAGCUAACAUUAUCACUGAUUAAGAGAUAAAAUUCUUAGGAGAAAAUGAAAUUUACUAAUUCUUUUAGGGGUACUAUGCCUAAGCACAACUCAUACCUGAAUGGUGUAAGAUCCACUUUCUUUAGCUUCAUCAAUUUCUGUUUACUUUUUUAUACCAGACCAGCACAUGUAUUUCAUAUUAUCUAUGUACAACAUUAUGUAAUUUUAAUAUCUAGAUUUAUAUGAUUUUAAGGUUGGGAACUUAAUAAUGUUAUUACUAUUGUUGCAGAUAAUUUUUGGGAAUAGGUGGAGACAUCUUUUAGGAGAAAUAGACUUUUGGGAUCGGAGCAUGUUGGAGGAAUUGAUGUUGCAUUGGCUCCAUCCAGUUUUGGCCAAGCAAAUACACAGGUAGACAAAAUUUCUAAUCUAGAAUUCUUAAUUGAUUGCUUAGGAAUGUCUUUAUUCUAUCUUAUCUAUCAAUCAUCAUUAAAUCAUAAUUCAUUUCAGCAUAUGAGGGACAUCAAAUCCUUGAGAAUGUACAAUUCUCUUUUUGAUACAAUUAAUUGCUGGAAUUGUUGAGGCUGGAGACUCUGGCCUUAUUUGCCUCUUGUUUGGACACCCAAGUUCCGUGUUCCUUUUUGUGUUCCUGCAUCACACAGGACACAUCGGCAGCUCACUAACAUAAGAUGCCUGACUCUAUCUUAUGUUUAUUGAGAGAAAUCCUACUUAUAUGUUUCACAAAAGUAUGUCCCAUAUGGGGCAGCAGUUGCUCAUUUGUAUGCUGGAGCUGGCGUAAUUGGAUUAUCAUUAGCUGCCACUAGAAAACGCAGGCAAGAACGCGGAUGGUUCAAGUUCUCUGGAAGUCUCAUUCUUAUGUCCAACUAGAAGAUAUAUUAAUUCCAAGUUAAUUAGUCUUGUUUUUCAGGUCUGUUAAAUGCAUUGAGAUCAACAAAGAGGCAAAGCUAUCUUUUGAGAAGACAGUUGGCUGCUUACCAAUGUCUAUAGUGAUGGGAUAAACGCAAACAAUGCACAACCAGAUUUUAUCCCAUCUUGUGAGAACCUAAUAGGAAUCAAUUUAAUAGAGUAACAACAAUUCACCCAAUGCAACAAGAAUAUGAACACCAACAAUUUUUAGCGUGGAAAACCUUCCCAAAUGUGAGAAGUAAAAACCACGGGACCCUUAGGCCACUUAAACCCUCCACUAAUAUAAUCAAUGGGUUACACAAUUCUCUUUAGAUGAGACUAUAGGUUUACAUUAGCCAUAUCUCAAGACAAUUAGUCUUGGCAAAUACAAAACAACUUGUAUAAAACAAUAGAGAGAUCUCACCAAAACAGAGUCACUGUUCCCGGACACAAAUCACCACUGUUCCAAACUCCAAAUCCAAUCUCCACCGUUCAAAAUGAAUAUCAAUGAGUUAAGAACGUGCUAACCAAAAAUCAUCUCGAUCAGAUCACGGAUUAAUCUCGAUCAAUGCUGAAGAUCAGAACUGCCCGGGUGAGAAGAAAUCAACGACAAAGAUGCACUGUUCACGGACUGAAACAACAACCUUCCGGAACUCUAAAUCUGAUCUCCACCGUUCAAAUUAGAGAUCAAUGAGUUGAAAAUCUCUCCUUCAAAUUUCAGGUCGAUCGGACCACACACGAAGCGGGAUCGGCCGUUUGAUGAAAUCUGGACAGUAAAGAGAAGAAAAGAAAUCAGCGUUUUUCUUCUCUCUAACUUCAAAAAUUCAGUGGCUCUUUUUCUUUUUCUCUCUAACUUUCUCUUCCUUUUUCUUCUUACUCUCCUCAUAGGGCUGCAAAGAUGAAGAUGAAGAAGAGAAAAGGAUUUCUUCUUCCCUUUUAUACAUUAAGGCCUAAGAAGCCUUAAAUGUUUGGGCUUUGAGCUUUCCUCCACAAGAAGGAAAUAACCCAACCCAACAAAUCUCCCCCUUUCCGACUAUGUGGAGGGACUCACCAUCCCAGCGAUGGAACAACAAACUCCAAGCUUCUCCCUUGGUAAUGUCUUUGUCAACAUAUCCGAGCCAUUGUUAUCUAUAUGUAUCUUCUCAAUUUCAAACAAGUUGUCAUUGAGAGCAUCUCUCAUCCAAUGAUACCUCACAUCAAUGUGUUUUGAUCUUGCAUGAUAGGUAGAAUUCUUACUGAGGUGAAUAGCACUUUGGUUAUUACAGUAUACCACAUAACGCUAUUGUUUAAACCCGAGCUCUUGCAUGAAACACUUCAUCCACAACAACUCUUUACAUGCUUCUGCUGCUGCAAUGUACUCUGCCUCUGUUGUAGAAAGUGCAACACAUUUCUGUAGUCUCGAUUGCCAAGACACAGCACCUCCUGAGAAUGUCAUCAAAUAGCCUGAAGUAGACCUUCUAUUAUCCACAUCCCCUGCCAUGUCUGAAUCAGUGUAUCCAACAAGUAUUGGUUUCCCACCUUCAAAAGUGAGUUUCAACUUGAAAAUGCCUCGUAAAUAUCUCAUAAUGCACUUGACUGCUUCCCAAUGAUGUCUUCCUGGAUUCGAUAAAAACCGGCUAACAACACCAACUGCAUAAGCGAUGUCUGGUCUAGUACAUACCAUGGCAUACAUCAAACUUCCUAAUGCUGAGGCAUACGAAACUCUUCUCAUGUCUUCCUUCUCCUUAUCUGUAGAAGGGCUAUGUCUGCUGCUUAGCUUAAAGUGACUAGCUAGAGGAGAACUAACCACUUUGGCUUUGCUCAUGUUAAACCUUGCAAGCACCUUUUCAAUAUAUUGCUCUUGUAACAUACAUAGCUUCUUGGAUGCUCUAUCCCGCUCAAUUAUGAUGCUAAGAAUUCUCUUUACUGGCCCUAAAUCCUUCAUGGCAAAAGAUUUGCUUAACUGCUUCUUCAAGUUAUCAAUUCUUGAAACAUUCCUGCCAACAAUCAAGAUAUCAUCAACAUAGAGCAACAAUAUAACAAAAUCAUCAUCAGAGAAUUUCUGCACAAAAACACAAUGGUCAGAAGUAGUUUUUCGGUAGCCUUGCUCCCCCAUAACUGACUCAAACUUCUUAUACCACUGCCUCGGUGCUUGCUUCAAGCCAUAAAGACUUUUCUUCAGCUUACACACAUAAUCCUCUUUCCCUUUUAGUACGAAACCCUCUGGUUGUUCCAUAUAAAUUUCUUUGUCUAAAUCACCAUGGAGAAAUGCAGUCUUAACAUCCAUCUGCUGAAUCUCCAAAUCAAGACUAGCUGCCAAGCCCAAAACCACACGAAUAGAUGACAUAUUAACAACAGGAGAAAAAAUCUCAUCAAAAUCAAUACCUUUCUUUUGAUUGAAUCCUUUGACGACCAAUCUAGCUUUGUAACGAGGUUGUGAAGUGUGUUCUUCUUGCUUCACUCUGUAAACCCACUUGUUCUUCAAAGCUCUUUUUCCUUUUGGCAACUUGACAAGCUCAAAAGAAUGGUUCUCAUGCAAUGACUCCAUCUCAUCUCGCAUAGCAUCAACCCACAUCAUCUUAUUUUCAUCUUUCAUGGCUUCCACAUAACUUUCAGGUUCUCCCCCGUCAGUUAGUAAUACAUAGUCAUCAACAGAAUACCAUGUGGAAGGAUGUCGGUCUCUAGUAGACCUUCUAAGUGGAAUAUCUGAUGGAGCCUCUGCUGCUGGUGACUGCUCAUGAACAUCAUCAUCCACCUCAACUUAUGUGGGUGUUUCAACAUCACCCAUGUCAUGUUGGUCAUCAUGUGCUUCAUCUUCAACCUGUGUAGGAAGAUUUGUUAGAGGGACUGGAUCUAAAUCAAUCAAAUCACCACUAUGCUAAGACUCCAUUGGAUUAGUCUUCUCAAUAUCAUGUAUAGUAUGGUCUUCCAUAAACACAACAUCUCGGCUUCUUACAAGUUUUUUCUGCACCGGAUCAUAAAACCUGUAACCAAGCUCAUCCUGACCAUAGCCAAUAAAUACACAAGGUCUUGUCUUAGCAUCAAGCUUAGAUCUCUCAUCUUUGGGAAUAUGCACAAAAGCCUUGCAUCCAAAGACACGCAAGUGAUCAUAAGAGAUUUCAUUAUUUGACCAAAUUCUAUCUGGAACAUCAAAUUCUAAAGGAACACAUGGUGUAAGAUUGAGAACAUGUACAAUAGUAUUCAAAGCCUCACCCCAAAAAGAUCUUGGCAACUGUGACUGCGAAAGUAAGCAUCUUACUCUUUUAACCAAUGUCCUAUUCAUUCUCUCAGCCAACCCAUUCAACUGAGGAGUCUUAGGAGGUGUCUUUUGAUGUCGAAUACCAUGUUGUCUACAAUACUCAUCAAAAGGACCAGAAUACUCACCCCCAUUAUCAGUCCGGAUACAUUUCAACUUUUCACCAGAUUGUCUUUCAACAAACGCAUGAAACUGCUUAAACACAUCUAACACUUGGUCUUUUGUUUUCAAGGUAUAAACCCAAAUCUUUCUUGAAUGAUCAUCUAUAAAAGUCACAAAAUAUAGAGAUCCACCAAGUGUUUUUGUUUUCAUAGGGCCACACACAUCAGAAUACACUAAAUCAAGCAUACCUGGCUUCCUUGUAUGGUGAAGUGUUUUGAAUGCAACUCUAGUCUGCUUUCCUACUAAGCAAUGAGCACACCUCUUCAAAGAUCCCUUCUUCAUACCAGAAAGAAGAUUCUUAUUAGCCAAAAUCAUCAAGCCCUUCUCACUCAUGUGACCAAGCCUGUUGUGCCAAAGCUCAAAUGUACUAUCAUCAUCCACUGCAUUGAUACUGGAAUCAAUUACCCUUGCUUGCAUCAAAUACAAUGAGGAACUCUUAUUUCCUUUUGCUAUCACCAUAGAACCUCUAGUGAGCUUCCACUGACUAUCACGAAAGGUGUUGCAAAACCCUUCAUCAUCAAGCUUUCCUGUGGAGAUUAAAUUCAUGCGAAUAUCCAGAAUAUGUUUAACAUUCUUCAAAGUCAACAUAGUACCAUUACUAGUCUCCAAACAUACAUCUCCCAUACCAAUGGCUUUAGCUGAGCCAUCAUUACCCAUCCUAACACUUCCAAAAUCACCGGAUGUGUAGGAUGUAAAGAAAUCCUUCCGAGGUGUAGCAUGGAUGGAGGCACCACUGUCAAUCACCCAACUAGUUUCCUGGAAAGCAAAAUUAACAACAUCACUAUCAUAAACAAUAAGGAAAUCUGAAGUGGUAGUGGCAACUUUAUCAUCUUCACCACCAUUGUCAUUCUUCUUUUCCUUCACUUUCCCUUAUUUUAUAUCUCUCUUCAAUUGGCGACAAUAUUUUUUUAUAUGCCCUUUCAAAUGGCAGUAGUGGCACUCAACAUCGGCAAACUUGUUAGUCUUGUUUUUACUUCUAUCUCUAUUCUUCGGACCUCUACUCUUACUCCUCCCCCUCUUCUCAGUAACUAGGACAUUUGACUGUGAAGAAGAGCCCUGUGACUUUCUUCUCAUUUCUUCAUUUAGAACACAACUCUUAACUAAGUCCAUAUUCAUAAUACCAUCUAGGGCUGAGUUAGACAAAGAAGUUCUAAACGUCUCCCACGAGUCCGACAAUGUACCAAGAAGCCACAACCCUUGCACCUCUUCCUCAAACUUGAUAUUCAUUCCAGCUAACUGAUUAAUAAUACCUUGGAAUGUAUUCAAAUGAUCUGUCAUAGGAGUUCCAUCUUGAUACUUCAAACUCAUCAUCUUCUUGAUUAGAAACAACUUAUUAUUGCCAGUCUUUCGAGCAUAUAACUGUUCGAGCUUAUUCCAUAGACUCCUUGCAUGUUUCUCUUCACUAACAUGAUUGAGAACAUUAUCAUCUACCCACUGUCUGAUAUAACCGCAAACCUGUCGAUGAAGUAAAUUUCAUUCUGCAUCAGUUUUAUUUUCUGGCCUUUCAGAAGCAAACACAGGCAAAUAAUAAUUCUUCACAUACAAUAAGUCUUCCAUUUUUCCUUUCCAAACAUGAUAAUUGGAACCAUUCAGAGUGAUCAUUCUACUUGUAUUGCUUUCCAUUGUUCUACACAAGACACAAAUAUCUUAAACCAAUGCUCUGAUACCACUUUGAUGGGAUAAACGCAAACAAUGCACAACCAGAUUUUAUCCCCUCUUGUGAGAACCUAAUAGGAAUCAAUUUAAUAGAGUAACAACAAUUCACCCAAUGCAAUAAGAAUAUGAACACCAACAAUUUUUAGCGUGGAAAACCUUCCCAAAUGUGAGAAGUAAAAACCACGGGACCCUUAGGCCACUUAAACCCUCCACUAAUAUAAUCAAUGGGUUACACAAUUCUCUCUAGAUGAGACUAGAGGUUUACAUCAGCCAUAUCUCAAGGCAAUUAGUCUUGGCAAAUACAAAACAACUUGUAUAAAACAAUAGAGAGAUCUCACCAAAACAAAGUCACUGUUCCCGGACACAAAUCACCACUGUUCCAAACUCCAAAUCCAAUCUCCACCAUUCAAAAUGAAGAUCAAUGAGUUAAGAACGUGCUAACCAAAAAUCAUCUCGAUCAGACCAUGGAUUAAUCUCGAUCAAAGCUGAAGAUCAGAACUACCAGGGUGAGAAGAAAUCAGCGACAAAGACGCACUGUUCACGGACUGAAACAACAAUCUUCCGGAACUCCAAAUCCGAUCUUCACCGUUCAGAUUAGAGAUCAAUGAGUUGAAAAUCUCUCCUUCAAAUUUCAGGUCGAUCGGACCACACACGAAGCGAGAUCGGCCGUUUGAUGAAAUCUGGACAGUAAAAAGAAGAAAAGAAAUCAGCGUUUUUCUUUUCUCUAACUUCAAAAAUUCAGUGGCUCUUUUUCUUUUUCUCUCUAACUUUCUCUUCCUUUUUCUUCUUACUCUCCUCCUAGGGCUGCAAAGAUGAAGAUGAAGAAGAGAAAAGGAUUUCUUCUUCCCUUUUAUACAUUAAGGCCUAAGAAGCCUUAAAUGUUUGGGCUUUGGGCUUUCCUCCACAAGAAGGAAAUAACCCAACCCAACAUAUAGAUAGUACCAUCAGCUGGCAUCAUGCAGACACGCCAAUUGUUAGUGUUCAACACCUCAAACUUUUACACUCAGACAUACACAUACAAACAAAAACACAAAUAACCCUUUGAAUUUUCCUCUGAAGCUCAUACCAGUGACUAAAGUCAGAUAAGCUGCCAAUAUUAUUGAAAAUUAACUUCUCUUCAAAAAUGGAGGCUCUUCACUUGAAGUUGGUUAUAUCAUAUAUGGAAAGUUGAAAAUUAUAUCCCACUUGCAAAAAAAAAAAAAAAAAAAAAGGCAAAAAGAAAGGUCAAGUCUAAAGGGGAUAUCUGAGAAUUUUGGUAGCAGCCCAUAUUGAAUGAUGAGAGGUACUACUUGUCAGUUGUCGUUACUUCAUCAUUAUAUAAUAAUAGGGAGAAUUGUGUUUUGGGUUCAAUUGGGCCCAAAAAUUAACAUUUGAUCCAUAUAUCAUGCAUAUUUAAGCUCAAGACCCAAACAAAGUAUGAAAAUUAAGAUGAAGGAUAUUGUCUUUCAUUAAUCCCUAAAAUACCCUUUAACCCUUAACCCUUAUAUACUCACAAGUGAGUGUGAAUUUCAAUUUUUUUUGGUUUUUUUUUCCUUUUCUAUUCCCUAUUAAGUAUUACUCAUUUCUAACUUUUUUUUUUCUUUCAAUCUAUAUUUCUAUUUUAUGUCAAAUAAAAAACAAUAAUGUUUUUUUUUGUUUUUCAUUUUUAAAGAUAUUGAAUCUUUUUGCUCUUAUUAUAAACAUAUAUAUAUAUAUAUAUAUAUAUAUAUAUAUAUAAUAUUAAUCAAGAAGACAAUAUUUUUAAUACUAAUUUACCAACCUUCCAAUAAUUUUGAAAGUGUAAAUAGGGUAAUUGGCCGAAUUAAAGUUUUCAAAAUAUUCAAAAUUUCUUCAUUCCAAAAUUAUCUAAUUGCUCUCCACACUAAUCCUAAAUAUUUUUUAAUAAAGAUUUAAAUAUUUAAAAUCAUUAAAAUAAAUAUUUUCUUAUUAAAGCAAUUUUUUCAAAGUAAUAAGAUAAAAAUCAUGAAAUCUUCAAAACUAUAAUUACAACAAAUAUUUUUAAUUUUAAAACUAAUUUCAUAAUUUAAAUUAAUGAUUUAAAAAAAUAAAAAUGUUAUAAAAAAUAAUUUUUGUUUAUUUUUAAUUCCAUUCAAAUAUGAUUUUUUUAAUCUCUAUUGAUAACAAUGAAAUUAUGUUUAUAAAGGCAAAAUAGUAAAAAUAUAUAUUUCAUUUAGUUUACUUAUAAUGAACAAUUCAAACAUGAUUGAUUUAAAUUUUAUUUCCUAUGUGUUACUUUUUGUAGGGAAUGUCUUAAUGACAUAGUUUGGUAAAAAAAAGAAAAAAAAAACUAUCAAUAAUCGUUUUAAUGUCAAAUUCAAAUUGUUUAAAAAUUGUACAAAACCUAUUAGGAGCCUUGUACAGCCUUGUACACUUAGCACAUUUCCCUUGUACAGUUAGUGUAAUAUCCUUGUACAAUGACACAAAUUUCAUAUUUCUCAUAAGUUAUAUGUUCAUGUAGGUGUAUUAAUCAUAUUUUCAAUAGUUUGGUUAAGAAAAUGGUGGAUGACUUAGGAUCAAUUUUCUUUCCCCAAAUAUCAUUAUUGGGGAAAAUAUUAGAAUUUUCAUGUGAGAGUUAAAUAAAAUGCAUGACAUAGGCGUACAAUCCUUGGGUGACAAGGAAAAUAAAAAAGUGGUUUAGAAUUGAUUAAAAUAAUUCACAAAGGGUAAUCUUAUACACUUUUGUACAAUUAGUACAUUUCCCUUGUACAGUUAGUGUAAUACCCUUAUACAAUGACACAAAUUUUAUAUCCUUCUUAAGUUAUGUGUCCAUGUCCACGUAGGAGUGUUUAACCAUAUUUCCAAUGGUUUAGUUGAGAAGAUGGUGGAUGACUUAAUGUCAAAUUUUUUUCCCUCAAAUAUAAUUAUUGGAGAAAGUAUUAGAAUUUCCAUGCGGGAAUUAAAUAAAGUGCACGACAUAUAUGCACAAUUCGUGAGUGAUAAGAAAAAUAAAGGAAUGACUCAUAAUUUAUUAUAAUCUUUCACAAAUGGUAGUCUUGUAUGCCUUUGUACACUUAGUACAUUUAUAUAAUUGUAUAGUGGCGUAAUAAAUGAAUAAAUAAUUUUUUUUUCAUAUAAAAAAAUAGUACUAAACAAGGUUUUCAAUUUUCAUUUUUAAAAAUAGUUUUCAUUUUUUAAUUAAAUGCAUUUUCAAAAAGAGACAAUAUAGAAAAUAAAAAUUAUUUUUUUUUAUAAAAAAAUAGAAAAUAAAAACUAGAAAAUAUUUUAAAACCAAACUCAAAUAUAAUCUAUAUAGUUUUUAGUUACUUGUUUUCAUCUGAAAUAAGUAAAUAUACCUUUCAACCCUUUUAUAUAAGAAAAAUUCAAUCUCUACUAUGUAUUGAUAUAAUCCACUUCUAAAAUUAGGUCAUAUGAAAACAUUUUAAUUGAGUACUUAAAAUAAAAAUUCUCCAUCCAUCCUUUUUAUUUAUUUUUAUUUUUCUUAUUUUAAUAAAUUUUCAAUUAAUUCAAAUCAUUAAAAAAAAUCCUUAAUAAACAAAUUUGUAAUAUUUCAUAUAACUUAUUACUAAAAGUCAUGUUCAAAAAGUUAUUAAAAUAAGGAAGGAAAAAGAUUAAAAAAAAAAAAAUUAAACUUUUUAUUUUAUAAUAGUAACAAAAAAACUUUAAAAUACUUUUUAGUAUAAAAAAAAUUAAAAUAGUGAAUAUAUUUAUUUUAAAGGGUAUUUUAAUUAUUAAAUUAUUUACUUCUAAAAUGUAAAAGAUAAUUUUUAUUUAUUUAAAUUAAUAUUUUUUUAGAAAGUAUUUUCCAAAAUAGUCUUUGAAUCAUUAAUAUAAUUUUUAUUUAUUUAUAAUUUAAAAAUAAAAAAUAAUGUUAAAUUUUCAAUUAUUUAUAAAAAAAGAGUUUAAAAAAAUAAUGAAAAAUAAAAAAAUGGUUAAUAAAAAAGAAUAAUGGCAAGUAGUAAAAUAUAGACAAAAAUGAGUUAAAUGUGUAUUUUUGUCGGAUUACUGUCUCAUAUCCUUAUCAUCAAUUAUAGAUGGUUGGAGGACUUUAUCUUAAUUAUGAACUUUCUAUGGGUUGAAACAUAAUUGUCCCAUAGUAAUAUGCCCACUUGGGCUUUAUGUUGGAAUACUAUAUUAAAAUCUCAGUAGUGAUGAGCAAUUGAUUUUUACCAUUUUUCUAUUGAAGUCCAUUUCCUGAAGAACUUUCAGUGAUUUGCUAGAAGAAAAAGGGAAAAAGACUUCAAGAAAAAGUAGGCUUAUCUUUGAAUAAAUAAAUAAAUAAAAAAACACCAGAUAAGUUACGAUUUUGAUAGUGGAGUUUCCAACUUGUAAGAAGCACUUUCUUUGUCAUUGCUAUCCUAAACCUCCACACAUGGAUCUCAAUUGGCUUAUAAAAAGCAUUUGUAUCAGUAUUUUGUGCAUUCCAUACAUACAACUUCUGGCUGCAGUUCUACUUUCAUGGCUAAUAUCAAUGCCUCCAUUCAUUUCCUUCUGCUUAUUUUCCUCUCCUCCACUUUUCUCUAUCUUGAAACUGUUAAACUUGGUUCCUGCAAUGGCGUUCUCAAUGUCAGCUGCACUGAAAUUGAGAGAAAAGCCCUUGUUGACUUCAAACAAGGUCUUACUGAUCCUUCCGGCAGGCUCUCUUCUUGGGUUGGCCUGGAUUGCUGUAGAUGGAGUGGUGUGGUGUGCAGCCAGAGGGUACCUCGAGUCAUCAAGCUCAAACUCCGCAAUCAGUAUGCUAGAACUCCGGACGCCAACGAUGAAGAUACCGGUGCUUUUGAGGAUGACUAUGGAGCAGCUCAUGCAUUUGGCGGCGAGAUAAGUCAUUCUUUACUUGAUUUGAAAGAUUUGAGGUACUUGGACUUGAGCAUGAACAAUUUUGAAGGACUCCAAAUCCCCAAGUUCAUUGGAUCAUUCAAGAGGUUGAGAUAUCUCAAUCUCUCAGGUGCAUCCUUCGGUGGAACCAUCCCACCCCACCUAGGGAACCUUUCUAGCCUGCUCUAUCUUGAUCUCAACUCAUAUUCUCUUGAAUCAGUUGAGGAUGACCUGCACUGGCUAUCAGGUCUUUCUUCUCUGAGACACCUUAAUUUGGGAAAUAUAGAUCUUAGCAAGGCUGCAGCUUAUUGGCAUCGAGCUGUUAACUCCCUUUCUUCACUCUUGGAACUACGCUUACCUAGAUGUGGGCUUUCUUCCCUUCCUGAUCUUCCUCUUCCAUUUUUUAAUGUCACAUCCCUUUUGGUGCUUGAUCUUUCGAACAAUGACUUCAACUCGUCGAUACCUCACUGGUUGUUCAACUUUAGUAGUCUUGCAUACCUUGAUCUCAACUCCAACAAUCUUCAAGGCAGUGUUCCUGAAGGGUUUGGUUACUUGAUUUCCCUUAAAUACAUUGAUUUUUCUUCUAAUUUAUUUAUUGGAGGUCACUUACCAAGAGACUUAGGAAAGCUUUGCAACUUGCGAACUCUCAAACUAUCUUUCAACAGCAUUAGUGGAGAGAUAACUGAAUUCAUGGAUGGGUUGUCCGAGUGUGUAAACAGUAGUAGCUUAGAGUCUCUGGAUUUGGGGUUCAAUUAUAAACUGGGUGGGUUUCUUCCUAAUUCUUUGGGACACCUAAAGAACUUGAAGUCUCUUCAUCUGUGGAGCAACUCAUUUGUGGGGUCAAUUCCAAACUCCAUUGGAAAUUUGUCGUCCUUGCAAGGAUUCUACAUCUCUGAAAAUCAAAUGAAUGGAAUAAUCCCAGAGAGUGUUGGCCAACUCUCAGCAUUGGUUGCACUGGAUCUCUCAGAGAAUCCAUGGGUUGGUGUUGUGACUGAGUCUCAUUUCUCCAAUCUCACAAGCUUAACUGAGUUGGCAAUCAAGAAGUCAUCUCCAAAUAUCACCUUGGUCUUCAAUGUGAAUUCUAAAUGGAUUCCUCCUUUUAAACUCAAUUACCUGGAACUCAGAACGUGCCAACUAGGUCCCAAAUUUCCUGCAUGGCUGAGAACCCAAAACCAGCUGAAGACGAUAGUGCUCAACAAUGCUAGGAUUUCAGACACGAUACCUGAUUGGUUUUGGAAGUUAGACUUGCAGCUCGAGCUACUGGAUGUUGCUAAUAAUCAAUUGAGUGGGAGGGUCCCAAAUUCAUUGAAAUUUCCCGAAAAUGCUGUUGUGGAUUUGAGCUCCAACCGCUUUCACGGUCCUUUCCCACACUUUUCUUCUAACCUGAGUUCAUUGUAUUUGAGAGACAAUUUAUUUUCUGGACCAAUACCUCGGGAUGUUGGCAAAACCAUGCCGUGGUUGACAAAUUUUGAUGUCUCUUGGAACUCUCUAAAUGGUACCAUUCCCUUGUCUAUAGGUAAGAUUACGGGUUUGGCAAGUCUGGUUCUCUCAAAUAAUCAUUUAUCUGGUGAAAUUCCUUUGAUUUGGAAUGAUAAACCAGAUUUGUACAUCGUAGAUAUGGAAAAUAACAGCCUAUCUGGUGAGAUCCCUAGCUCUAUGGGCACCCUGAAUUCACUUAUGUUCUUGAUACUGAGUGGCAACAAACUUUCAGGGGAAAUUCCUUCUUCACUGCAGAAUUGCAAGGACAUGGAUAGUUUUGACCUUGGCGAUAAUAGAUUAUCAGGAAACCUUCCAUCAUGGAUAGGAGAGAUGCAAUCGUUGUUGAUUCUACGACUGCGAUCAAACUUGUUUGAUGGAAACAUUCCCUCCCAAGUGUGCAGUCUUUCCCAUCUUCAUAUAUUGGACCUCGCACAUAAUAAUCUGUCAGGAUCCGUUCCUUCUUGUUUGGGAAAUUUGAGUGGCAUGGCUACUGAAAUCAGCAGUGAGCGAUACGAGGGCCAAUUGUCAGUUGUGAUGAAAGGAAG